UUUUUUUUUUUUGAAGGUAACGUGGUCACGAAAUCGGGAGGGCCCAAGUUGACCACAACAUUGCCUCCACAAUAAUAAAUUAUUGAAUCCACUGUGCCACAGGAUACCCUAGCCGUGGAACACACGGGUGAAACACCAACCGCCAACCACACCGAUUCAGUCACGAGUCACAACAACGUUGCAGGGUCCGUUAGCAACCGCACAAUCGCCGAUUCAGCCAUGUGGGUUUUUGCCCCCCUCACAAGUCGUCCUCAACCUUGAAUGCCAGUGACAGCGAUUUCAAACCAAGACAAAAGAUCAGCCGUACACGCACGCAUCUGUAAAUCUUUGCAGUUGGCAGGUGCGGAGAUCACGCAGCCAUGCGUUGUAGCACUGAUCGGGACACAAGCGUUUCACAGCCACAGGCAGCACCAGCACACACCUGAGUGUUCUUGUUUCAGGCACGAGCAUCACGUUAGUACCACUUCGUAAUUUAAUUAUCUGUGCAUGGUUGAGUUUGGCGGAACGGACCUAUCUAACAUACAGAACUGCAGAUUAACAGGAGCAGAUCAGAAAAAAAAAAUUCGUUGAAAGAAACAGUGAUAGAAGAAUGCCAACAACUUCUAUUGGAGUAGGAGUACACAGGUGAGCGAUAACAGCGGUAUCCUAUCACGACAGGUGUAUCUGUAAACUGGUCAGCUAACAGCAUCUAGUAUGAUCUUAACUGCUACUAGCAAGCAUGAACAGCAUCAAAAUUCAAAAGACACUAAACAUGCACAACCAAGGAUCCAUGAUACUUAUACCACUGAUAAGUACACAGGUACAUCACAUCCACAAGCAGGACAGGCACACACCUGCCUGCUCUUAUUACAGGCACGAGCACGAGCAUCAUUUCUCUACAGCCGCUACCGGUCCUGACGCACGCCAUGCCUGAUCAACUCACUCCACGAUAAUAAAACCAGUACUUCUAUAAGCACAGCCACAGCCACUACUAACCAAGCAGAGUAUUACUGCGAUAAGCAAGGGAGCCCAGCCGAGCAGGGUGAUAGGCGUAUCAGCCCCAGACUCUCCCUGCCCUAUCAGCAAGCAGUGCGACGGCUGCGCGCGCCGCCUCAGGCGACGGGGGGCGGCUUCUCGACGUCCUCCAGGGGGCGGAACCACACCUUCUGGUCCAGCACCGUGCCCGGACCAUUCGCGGCGGCGUCCGGCGCGCCGGCGGCCAGCUGGGCGUCCACCGCGGCCGGGCCGAAGACGCCGGUCUUGGGGUGGGGGCCCCAGUACUUGUCGGGGUUGGCGGCGCCGCCGAUCACAUCGUCCGGCACGAACGCCGGGCGCACCUGGUCCUCCAGGUUCUUGUCGUACGCCGAGGCGUGCACGGCCCUCCUGCACACACCGAUCAAUCGAUCCGGUCAGAAGGGUGGAUGAGCAAACGUGCCUGACGGCCGGAGGUUAGUGAUGACAAGAGCGCCGGGAUUGAGUGGAAAGUUUGGUUACUGCUACUGCUAGCACUUGAUUCAUGUUUGGAAGAAAUUUUGAAGACCCACGAGGCGUUGCAGGCCGAAACCAGCUAAUACAACGGCGCCAUCCAUAAGAUUUCAGCCCAUCACUCAAUUAGUCAGUUACCAAUGGCCGGCCCGUGGCGACGGCGCACGUGAUGCGCGGCCCCGCCUCCUCCCGUCCUCCGCGCGUGCACGUGGGCGGGCGGUGAAGAGGACACGCGAGCGAGAGAGGAGAACGGACGCGAGGGGCCGAGGGGGCACGACGGGCGGAGCAGCUCGCUGUUGUGUUCGGUGGGUGCGGAUAGGCACAACACAUGGACGGACGUACGGACGGGAUCCGAUCGCGAGUCCCAUCCGUACCGCACCACGCCCAGUCACCCCGCACCGUCCGGUGGGCCUGUCACCUAGCGGGCCCCUCGGCAACGGACGGCCCGGUGCAGAACAGCCCACAGCAGAUCCGGGCAUCCCCGGUGAUGAUGGGAUGGAAAGGGAAUCGUACGGGCCGGAAGCGGAAGGGCAGCUGGGUAGGCCCGCCGUCCGCGGAGGCUUCUGGUCCCGGGCCCCACCGCCAGACGGAGACCCACUCCUCCUCACUCUUCUCCCUUCUCCCUCACUCCCCAUCCAUGGUCAAUUGGCCAUGGUCUUCUUUUUUUCUUUCUCCAGAUAAUGAUCCAUGGUUUUCCUUUGAGUGGAAACCAAGAGAAACCUGAGCAGAGCGGGUGGCGGGUGGAGGGUGGAGCGAGCGACAACUACCGCGCACUAGACCAGAGACACCAGACUCAUCACCCAUCCAUCCGCCACCGAGAACUUUUCUGAAAGCGAAGCGUUGGGGAGAAGCUCGGUGUGCACGUCCGGUGUGAGCGUGACUGUGUCGCCACUGCCUCUCAUCCCCUUUGUGUGGGUGCGCCUGGAGCUAGAGCUGGAGUGCAUCCAGUCCAGUGUGGGGCUUGGCCUUUUCCUCCCUGGCAGAGGCAGGGUUUUUUGGGCGGAUUUGACAGUCUGAAGUGGGCAGGAAAAAAUAUCUCCGUGGAUCUCACAUGAUUGGGGGGGAGUGCAAGCGUGCAAGGCGAUUAAGGUGAGGUGAAGUGCAAGGCUUCCAUUCCAGGCACACCCUCUUUCUAUUGUCUUCUCAGACAGGUCAGACUUGUAAUAACAAGCCUGGCGAUGGUCCCGAAGCAGAGGGCAGCCAUAUCCAGAUCGUGUAAGAAAACAAUCCUUCUACAAUUGCUAGGUUGUAUACUUUCUGCAAAAACUUGUUAGGUUGUACUAGCAUCUGGGCAUCUUUCAGCAUACUAAAUCAACAAAAAAAACAAGAUUAUUUGCCGAAUCAGUGGUUAAUCACGAAGCUAAACGGUCCUACUCCCGUGUCGGAGGAAAAGCUGCAACUGCAAGAGACGCUACCCGAGGCACCCAAAGCAAAGCUUUAAAAAAAUGGCCCAAAAGGCAAAUCUCUCUGCUGCAGCAACAACAUCUUGGACGAACUUAGCAAGAGCAAGCGCCUAGAAAAAUACUCCUACGCGGGCAAACGAACAAACAAGAAGGGAUCACAGGAGAAUCGCAGGCGCGCGUGUGGCUGCUGCCUCUCUGGGCAUGUACCUCGGGGAGGCGGCCUUGCCGGCCAGGACGCGGCUGACGAAGCUCCCAGCGAUCGCCCGCCCCUUGGAGCUCGCUGCUGCUGCUGCCAUGCAAGGAGGGAGGAAGGGGAAGCGCAGGCGAGGAGUCGCCGGACGAGAUGGGGGCAGAAGAACUAGAAGUCGAAAGGGAGUGGUGGGUUUCCAAUUCCCUGGAGGCCCUCCUUUUAUAGCGCCCGGGGCCCGGGGGGGCCUGCGGGCGCCGAGCACGCCGGUGGCGCCACACCACCGUGCAGGCCUGGCCUGCUGGCUGCUACUGCUACUCUAAUACUCCUGCAUAAACAAAAAGGAAACGGAACGGAGUUACGGCGGUGGGGGAGAGCGAGAGCCGCAGUGACGGCGACCGUUGGCGGUCACCGCGAUGGGGACGGCAACCUGCGCGUCGGGGGCGUACCUACCAACGGCCAGCGGCGUCGCUGUCCGGACGGAGACUGGCACGGUGGCACCUUGUGCUUGGGGCCUGCAUCAACGCUGGGCCGUCCGAUCGGGGGGUUAACGUCAAACUGUAAACGUAUAUGAUGACAGUGUGUUGCUGCUCCUGCUAGUACUGGUGCUAGUGUUACGUGGUCUGUUUACUUUUUGCCCCCUGGCAAUGGCGCUUUCGGUGUUACAUUUUUCUGAUGGCAGGUGUGUGUAGAAAAUUACCAACUCGGCUAUUCCCGGUCCUGCAGUCCGGAUGGCACACGUAACGCAGCGUUGUUUGUCUAACAAUGGGUUAUUUUAACGGAUCGUGCUAUUCAAUUCGUGAUAGGGAAAUGGACGGUGGAUUGUUUUGACCAGGUGGCUGGGGGAGUUACUGCAGCAACUCUUCACAUGAGGGUGGAAAUUUCGAUCGGCAAUGGUAAAAAUGCCUGCCUUUUCUUAUCAACCUUCUUCAGCUAAUGAUGCCGUGCUAUCUUCUUACGAUACAGUGUGAGACAACGGAGUUCCCUUUGUUUUGUUGGUGAAAUCUGGGGGCUGGAAGAUCAGGUGUGCUAAAAUGCCAGCGCACAGACCCUUUUCGCACCGUCUCCAUCUCAUCGACAGUGCCUACCUGGUGGGGGCGGUAGCAGUACUAGUGACUGUACCCGGGCCGGCUAGUUUGGCUUGGGGCAUCACCGCAUCAGAAUAUGCCGCCCUGAGAUGCUGUGCUGACCAACCAUCUUCCCCGCCCCACGUCAGCCCGCACGUGCCGUGCUCGUGCGCGCCAGGGGGCGGACGCCACGGAUCAGGUGGACACCAAAUCACGGAUUAGGUGACUGAUUAUUCUACUAGAGAUGAUUGCCAUUCUUCUGAGUUCAAGGACUGCAGAUUUCCUAUAUCGAUCAAAAAUGGACUGCCGGUUUCCAGGCACCUCCUCUCUGUUCUUCUCUUCCGUUGACACUCCACGGAUCAAAAUCUUUUCCCUUUUUUUUUCUUUUGAUUGACAGGCGAGCUCAGAAUAUUUGUGCAAUGUGACCAGCCUUGAAUCUUGACUGGGUUAUUCAGCAUUCUAGAUGGGUUGAGGGAGAUGCCGGAACGGCAAAGAAAGCGUCUGCUGCAGCCCGGCUGCUCCGGGUUCUCCUGCCGGCGGGCGACGUCAGCCAGGGCUAUCCGCAGCGGCCGUUCCGGCAACGUCCUCCCAUGUCCCAUGCCAUGUAUGCUAUCCGCUGGUUACGCACCGUACCGGAACAAGUCACUGAAGCAGGCGCAGCUGCAGGCUGCAGCCGUCCCUCGUCGCGGCGCGCCCGGCCACGCCCCCAUAGACCACACACGGCGCCGGCAGGUGCGGCCGCGUCGCGAGGCCUCUUCUCGCGUGCGUCAUCCGUGCCGUUGCGGCCUUGCGGGCAUGGCACCGUGCCGCUUUGGCUGUUGGGUCGCGCAGGCGCUCGACGCGUCGCGCUCCGGCGGGUGGCAUGGGAUGGGAUGGCGCCACCCUCGAGUGCCCGGGUGCGCCGGGGUGAGUAUAUUUCUUGCAAUUUAGUAUUUUCUUAAACAAAUAUAUAUUUGGAUCUCGGCGGAAAGAUUUGCAGAUUUGGACCUCCGAUAAGGCGCCAAAAGUCAUGGCGCCGUGGGUAAACUUGACGGUACCGUCACUUUUGACGCCGUAAAUUUGCAUAUGGAUGCAAGCAUGGCAGAGGGGUAAGUAUAUGGCGCCAAAGGUAACGGCGCCGUGCUGUACAGACACGGCGUCAAACCUCACAGCGCCGUGCUUUCCAGCCCCGACCUGUCAGACCCGGAACUACGGGAUUGCGUACAUAACGUAGUUCAUAUAGAAUUAGGGGAUAGAACAUAUCAUAUACCUUAUCUAUAUUAUAAUCUACUCGCAUGUGAAAUAGGACUAGCCGAUACAGAAGGAAGCUACUCAAGUUGUACUCGAGUACGGUUCCUAGGUCAAUGUCGAACUAGGAUUCAUGUAACCCUGUCCUCCCGGAUAUAUAAGGCGGGCAGGGACCCCUUAAAAUAUCAAUCAACACCCAAGGCAAUACAAACCACCAAACAGGACGUAGGGUAUUACACACAUCGCGGCCCGAACCUGUCUAAACCUUGUGUUGCUUGCACCUUCGAGUUCUUGAUCUCGGCGUCACCCUACCUAAAACUUACCACCUCGGGUAUACCCCUCAGUGGGCAGGCGGUAAAACACUGACAGCUGGCGCGACAGAUAGGGGGCGCGCAUCGAAGAUCCACUGGCGAACUCGAUGGCAGCGUUCAAGUUCACCAGUGUUGUGCCCCCUCAGGGCACGACGUUCGUUUUCGGCUUAUAGGUUUUGAAAGAUAUCUAGGCCCCUUAGUGGAUUUUGGUGGAAGAUGACAAAGCACAUGUAUAUCUAAUCAUGUUGUCGAGCAUGUGUGCAGGGUCUAAGAAUGAUGAAGCAAAGCGUAUUAAAAAACAUGACCCCUCAAAAAGGAAAAUAAAAAGCGGUGUUUCAAAUUUACUUGAAGAAUUAGAUUUUAUUUUGAAAUUGAGUAUAGGAACACCGUACUGUCAAGAGGGACUUUAAUCCACAGGUGUUGAUGUGGUAGUUGUGCUCAAGAGAACCUACAAAAGCUAUGAGAAUCAAACCUACCACUAAAAAAUAGCCUUCUUGUGAAAAUCCAUGUUUAUCCGGAAUGUCCGGUACAAUGUCCGGAAUAUCCGGAUAUUAUGAUCCGGAGUAUCCGGACAGUAGCCCGGAAUCUCUGGGUAACUGUUACUCAUCUGAAGUUUCUCUAGGACCGGAGUCUCCAGACCCCUAUGUCCGGAGUAUCCGGAAAUAUACCCGGAGUAUCCGGGUAUCCUUCUCCCAACGGCUAGUUUCUGUGAGAGGGGGUAUAAAUACCCCCCAUACCCCUUCAUUUACCUCUCUCUUGUUCAUUUUCGAAACAGAACAAGCCAGCAAGCAAAAGGAGAGCUCUCUCACUUCCCCUCUUCCAUUCUUGAGUGAUUUUCUUAGGGGAAUCAAGUGAGAUAGUUGCAAGAGCAAAGAUUCGUGCUAGCAAGCUUCCAUUCCAUCUCUUAAGCACAAAACCCUUAGCCGGUGGAUUCAAGUUCAUUACUCUUGGAGUUUCAAGCUCCUUGACGGCUAGGCAUCGCGUGUGAGUGUUCAAGUAAGUUGUGAGCACCACAAGAAGUUUGUAAUCUUCAUUCCUCGUGGAGGAACUCACAGUAAGUAUCCUCGGUUUUGAGCGUUGGUCUCACCCUUGGAAGAGGAGUAUAGGAGUUCUUGAGCACCGUCUCUUGAAUCCUUCCUCAACGGAGACGUAGCUCCUUUGUGAGUGAACUUCGGGAAACAAAUUCUAUCUCCUUCUUGUGCUUCUUACUAGUUUUAUUAUAUAUUUUCUUAUGAGACUAGUCUUCUGGGGUUUAAAGUCGAUCUACAUUUAUAUUAGUCACUAGAGCAAGACAACUGUUUAGAAACACUGCUAAGGUACCACUAGCUUGACUAAAUUUACUCGAUUUAAAUUGCAGCAUCAAUAUCUUGUUAGUGCAAACAUUGUUUCAUACCCGAAAUCUCUGGACCAUAUUUCCGGAAACUCCGGACACAAAACCCGAAGUAUCCGGACAUAUAUCCGGAGUAUCCGGAUAUCUGUGUUACUGAUAUUGUCUAAAGUGUUUUAAGUUUCAGAUUUGCCUAUUCACCCCCUCUAGGAAUAUUGAGAUCCUUUCAGGUUUGCGUCGCAGAUGGUGCGGGCAAUUUUCGUCGAUUCAUCAUCGACAUGAAGCCAAAAACUCUCGCGGCAAGUUUUCAUAGCGACCUCGACGAGUUCGUCGAUAAUCUCGACGACUUGUCAACCCAUGGCUCCGCUACGAGGACCGAGGAGGAGUCUGUUUAUGACGCGACUCCGUCCAGCGCUGCAACAACCUUGCUCGGGUUGGACUCGUUCCAAUCUGAGGACUUGCGUAGCCGAUCACGAUUUGGUCUACGCAAUUCGGCCACUGAACCUCAGGAGGCAACAAUUCCGACUCCCUCUCCGCAUUGGAAAAGGACUUGGACUAUUUACUCCGAAUCGGAAAGCCUAAAGCCACCGCACGUCGGGGGGCUGCGGGUUAUCUUGGUGACAACGGUCUGAUGAUCACCUCCACUCCAGAGGGCCGUUUCGUGCAUUGGAAGGGCAUGAAACUCUCCGAUCUACUCGAGGAUGAAGACCAACUUGUGGAACACCUUAAGCCCUUGCCUUUUCAGGAGGGUAGGCCAUUAGCCACCGUAGCAGAGGAGUCAACCGAGCUAGUCGAAGCGAGCUCUGAUGAGCUCAUAUCACGCCAGGUGCUGAUGGUGGAGUGUAGGAUCGAGAUGGCGGACUAGAGGGGGGUGAAUAGUCCUUUCUAAAACUAAUUGCGCCGGCUAACCGAAACUUAUGCGGAAUUGAAACUAUUCGCUUAGCCAAGAUUUCACCCCUCUAACUAUGACUUUAAGACACUUCCAAAAAAAUCCUACACAAAGCAAAUGGAGUGCCAAGCUAGUAAGAGCUCUCCUAACAAUUCUAAUGCCAAGCCACACAAGUCUAAGCACUAGUACUUUACAAACAAGGGGAGCUCCUACACAAUUCUAAUGGGCAAUAGCACAAAGCCAAACCUAAGCUCACUAGAUGCUCAAGGACAAGGAUACACAAUACAAACUCAAGAGCAAGGGCUUCGCGGGUCCCGCGGGGUGAGCACAAUACCCCUCACAAUCUCUUCUCCGGAGCACCACACAAUCUUCUUGCGGGCUUCAACGGAGCCUCUUCCCACCAAGCCGUCUAGGAGGUGGCAACCUCCAAGAGUAACAAGCACACCGGCUUGAAACACGAUCACCUAGUGCCACUCGAUGCAAUCUCUCAAAGCAAUCGCACUAGAAUCGCUCUCUCACUCAAUUGGAUGAUCACUAUCAAGUUAGAGUGAGUAGAGGGCUCUCAAGCACUCUCACACAUGGACACCAAGUCCCCAAGGUGCUCAGCCCCCUCAAAUGGCCGGCCACACCCUCUAUUUAUAGAGGGAGGCCCUAAACUAGCCGUUACACUCAAAUCCCGUGAAAACAGAGAUUUCGCGGACCGUCCGCCUCACAGAAACCGGACCAUCCGCCAUUCAAAACCAACGGAUAGAAUUGCAAUUAUUAUAUGUCAGAGUCGACCGUUAGAGCCCCGGGCGGACUGUCUGCACCCCUGGAGUGGACUGUCCGCGGUUCAAAACUUCGAACCAACCGAUUUGCAAACGUCUCUGACUAAAUCUGGAAGUGACCGCAGAUCAAAAAGUGAGCACACACAGAAACCGUAGUGUUUCUGUCCCAGAAUUUUCAGUAGGAGGCGGACCGUCCGCCCCCAAGGACCGGACGGUCCACAGUUCAUUUUGGACACUCAAGAUAGAACUACCAAUAUUCUGCGCCCGUUUCAGCUUUUAAGGGCGGACCGUCCGCCCCCAUGGACCGGACGGUCCGCAGUUCAUUUUGGACCACCAACAGAGCCAAAAACGGCUCUGUUAGAGCUCAUCCAGGAUAACGGCGGACCGUCCGCCCCCCAUGGGCGGACCGUCCGCAGGUCUAUUUCCAGCAGAAAUGUACCUCGGUAAAACGGCCAUAACACUUAGCUCCGAUGUCCAAAUUAGGUGAUCUUGGAUUCUAUGGAAAGCUAAUUCAGAGGGCUACACAACCCAACUGAAUACUUGGUCCAAAACACAAUGGAUCAAAGCAGUAUUCCACUCCAAGAGACAACCUAAUUUUCGAAGAAAACCGAAAAACCUUUCUUGCUUCACAAAGUUGAUCAACAUCAACUCCAACUCUUUCUCCUUUGCAAAUGUGCCAACACCACCACGUGAACAACACCAUGUGCAUGUGUGUUAGCAUUUCACAAUCAUUUUCAAAGGAUUUUCACUUGAUCUCACCCCGCCACUCGAUCCUAGCAACAUCGCAAUGUUAGAUCGCUCAAGUGGCACUAGAUGACCGAUAUGCAAACAAGUUUGCCCCUCUUGAUAGUACGGCCAUCUAUCCUAAAUCCGGUCAUGCACUUCUCUACACAACUUUUUACCGGUGAAAUGAAAUGCCCUACAAGUCAUACCUUUGCCUUGCGUAUUUCAUUUCAUUUUCCCAAAUGUUGAUGCCACACAAGCACCAAAUUCCAUCAAGCCUUUUGAUCAUCUUCAUAAGUCAACACUUGGCUUGAUCUUUCUUGAAUGAUAUGAUCCACUCCAUAUCAUCACAUGACCUCUUUGGUCCAUCGAUCUUGACCUUGCUCGCUCUUCACCGUUGCCUCGGUCCAUCGGCGCCAAAUCUUGCCCAAGCUUCACCGCCUCGCGGUCCCUCGCUUCAAAGACUUGACUUGCCCUUCUCCAUUGCAACUGGUCCAUCAAGCCAAGCUUUGUCUUGAUCUUCUCCAUUUUGGUCACAUAACUCCAUGUUAUGUCUCAUAUGCAAUGACCUCCUCGAUCACACUAUAUGAGCAUAGCAUCAACCCUUAGGCAUUUCUCCUCCAUGGCACAUGUUGCUCAUACUAGUGUCUUUGUGUGGACUAAUCUCCUAUGUAUCUCAACAUAAACACCUAUUAGUCCACCUAAGUUGUCACUCAAUUACCAAAACCAAACAAGGGCCUUUCACGGAGGAGGGCGAGGAUGAUGGCAUCGCACCCAACGACGCAGAUGACAUGAUAUCCAAAGAUGAGGCCACAACCAACACCAGCGACGUAAACGACGCCGAUCGUGAGGCACGAAGGGCCAGGAACAGAGCCCGCGCAAUCCGGCGAAGGAGGGUCAACGAGCGCAUGCGAUCUAUGCAUUGUGAGCUAGACGCCGAAUUCGCCGCCGUGAGUGAGCGGGGCUUUAGAACUCCCGUGGCCAACAUCCUAUUUUUAAGGUAAAUUUAAACACCUUGCUGAUCUAUUAAAAAAACAAAUAGCAUAUUGUUGUACUCAAGCAUCUACGUACUCAAUGGUGUAGUUGUUGGUCAAAUUUUUUACUUAAUUUUUUUUAUUGUACUCCAAAAUCAGCCUUGUUAGUAGAUAUCCCAGUCUUAGAAAUUUUCUAAAUCUUUAGGAAGUUGGAAUAUGUCCAGGUAAUAUUUAAUUAUUCUAAAAUUGGUUCCUUUUCAAACUUUGUACUUUGCACUUUAUUUUUCGUGUUGAUCUAAGGUUUACUUUUUUCCAAAGAUUUUGUUAUUCAACGGUGCUAAUCAAGUAAUUUUAUUAUUUCAUGUGAUAUUUCACAUUCAAUUGAGUUGUUCUGCUGUUGGAAAUUUAUGAUGUGUUUACGCGUUGUAGGUGCCUUCUCGUCAUGCAUAAUGAAGUAUUUUAUAGAGUGCAUGAAAAUAAGAGCAGUUACAUUAGCCAUCCCCGACUUGGAAAUGCAUUCAAAUUACAUGACUGAGAGGUUAUGGUUUUUACGCUACUUGACGCAUAGACUACGCUACAUCAUGCAACAUGGUGAAACCAUAAACCUUUAAAUUAAACAAUCUAAUACAAACUAAACAGUGGCAUGUAUGGCAACUUAUUGUGUGAACAUAUGCCGCCGCUCUAAACCUAGCACGUCUUAGGUAAUUGAAAUAGCCGGGGGUACAACCUAACUGGAUUGUCUAGUAGUACUGGCUCUAAGAGUACUGUGAUGGUCCAGCUCCGUCAUAGCCUCCAUCUCCACCAGAGCACUGGGAGGGUCCUUCCCCUCCACCCGCGGAAGGUGGAGACGGAGACGGUUGAUUCUUCUUCAUAUGGUACGGGCACUUGCACCAAAUAUUAGGGUAGAGAGGGUCUGGUAGGAGGCUAGUAAUCCAUGGGUGUGGUACAGCUGCUUUGAGAUCGUCUUCAAGGCCCUCCACCUUCUUCUCCAGAUCUUUGAUCUUGAACUUCAAGUACUGGAUGUACUCCUAUGUGUGGUAGAAAUUAUUGGGAUCCACCCAUCUUGGGUAGUGGUAGUUCCCUUUGUCAUAGUAGUACUAUAAAUGGUUCAUUGGUUAGCAUAUCUAGAUACAUAGGGAGAAUGAUGUAAAGGAGGAACAAUACUCACCUCACCAAUCAGACACCUGAAGAACCGUCACCCUACAUCACCAUACAUGUCAUACACCCGCACGACGUGAAGCUUGUUGUGGUGGCACUUGGGCUAGACAUCCCUAUGGUUAUCGUAAGGCCUUAUCUCCUCAUCGUCAACAAACUCAUGGCGAUGGCUAAGAGGAAAUUGGGGCACAGGUGACUCAUACUCAUCGGGCCCAAAUGUCCCUAGCCAAGUGAUGGUAGGUUCUGGACGCGGUGCUCCUCCCUCCCUCCUCCCACACCCUCUCCCUCCUGGUGCGACCAUUGUUCAGCUAGUGUUGUUGUGUGUUGCCGGGAGGAGGCCAAUUUAUAGAUAAAGUUGGCAUGGUCUACGCAGGAAACAACCAAAUAUCUGGGUCAUGCAUUAGUGACCUCCGCGUGCCUGGCAGCUGAGUCUUGAGGAUUGUCAUGGACAAACCACAUCGGUCUAAAAAGGCUAUGUGAACUAUGCCUGAGGCAUAGAGUUGUCACGUCUUGCUAAAAAGUCUAUAAGUAGCUCAGAGUCCUUUGAAAAUGCUAUGUGAAUUAAGGCUGAGGCAUAGUGUUGUCACGUCUUGCUGAAAAAUCUAUAAGUAGCUCAGAGUCAUUUGACAAGGCUACGGACGCUAGGUAGGUGUACUAUGACCUAUCAUCAUUUUGACAAAUCUAUAAUAAAGCAGUUACGAUCCAUAAAUUCCCGACUUCCAUUACAAAAUACAAAUGUUGGUUAGGUAAUGAUAAGGUAGUAGCAUCCCAUGGCAUCUCUACUACUACGGUACAUGACGCAUAAGACCUUUGCCCAUAGCGGUAAACUUAAACAAUGAAGUGCAGUGGCAUGUGCAACACGGUAGCCUCGUGUUGGAACUACACCUAACAUGCCUUAGGGAAUCUAAAAUUCCGGGAUUACAUGGUGAUGCUUCACUGAGUGCACGGGGAUAUUUCCCCUUCCUAAUAGCAUCAGGUUCUGCUUCCUUCGCAUGGUGUGCCCUCUCUCAUGGUGUGCCCUCUCUCGCUUCCUCCCCCUAUCUUCCCAUUCCUCCAUCUCCUGACGGUCCACUUCCUCCAUCCUUCUCCGGAUUUCUUCUUGAUCUUUCUUGCGCUUCUCCUCUUUCUAUUCCUCGUACAACAUUUGCUGCCACCUUUUCCUAGCUCACCUUUCUUUGCGUUCAACAUGGUCCUUAGCAAACUGCGACUGCUCGGUGUCCAACCACUGCACGAAAUCACAUAGAGGUGGUGGAGUCUUUGUCCCACCCCAAGUUAGAAGUCAGUGCCAAAUCCAUAAGUAUGAACCGAAGUGUUCAUGUAAUACCUUAGGUCUAUCCUUGCCGUGAUGCUUCGGCAGGUCGUACUUGUAGUUCUCGCACAUGAAAACCUCAUGCCGAAGUCAUCACCCAAAACCUUGGACUCCAUGAGCUUGCGGAGGAGUGUUUCAUGUAAUACCUCAGUUCUAUCCUUGCCGUGAUGCUUCGACGGGUUGUACUCGUAGUUCUCGCACAUGAAAACCUCAUGCCGAAGUCAUCACCCAAAACCUUGGACUCCAUGAGCUUGCGGAGGAGUGUUUCAUGUAAUACCUCAGUUCUAUCCUUGCCGUGAUGCUUCGACGGGUCGUACUCGUAGUUCUCGCACAUGAAAACCUCAUGCCAAAGUCAUCACCCAAAACCUUAGACUCCAUGAACUUGCAUAAGGAACCGCAGAAGCACAUUGGCACCUGGAUUCCUUGAGCACUAUUGCUCUCACCUUGUUCCUACACGUGGAUCCGGGCUUUACCUGGCCGGAUUUGGCCCCAAAUCGCGGGAUCUAGGAGGGGGGAGGUGAGGAAGAGAGAGAGGGCACCGAGAAGCUCCCUCUGUUCUUUCCAACAGAGGAGCGGUCACGGGGUGGGGGGAGGAGGGGCACGGCCACGGGGGUGAAGUCCGGGGGCACGACACCACGGACCAUGGCGCCGUAGGUUCAUGGCACGACGCUAUAACUUUUGGCCAUGUUAGCAUCCCACGUGUAAUUACACGGAGCCAAAAACAAGGCGCCGUAACCUUGACCUACGGCGCCGUGAUAUUUGGCGCUGUGUCUAGGGUCUAGUUUUGAGAAUCUUUUCUUCCAGGAUCCAGAUGUAAAAAAAUUUCUAAAAAAGGACUAAAUUGUAAAAAAUUUACCUAGGGUGAUGGGCUCGAGUGGUGAGAGAGCCGAGAGCGGAACCAGAUGCGGCUUGUACGAGGUGCGCCCCGGCCACCCGGCUGGGUCUGGGUGGGUGGGUCGGCGAGUGGCUGGCUUAACUCGGAGGGUAGAAAGGCACAACUGGCUAUUGCGAUGAGGGAAUCUCGCUGUCCGGCCGCGGUCACGGGCCGAUACGAUCGUAAAAACCAAUCACACUGGUGCCGUAGGUGUUCCCGAAUCUGGUGGUUCACGGACCGAAUCGCCAAAAAUCUAGUACCAGAAUUGCUGAACAACUGUACGCAUGGAUUGCGGGCGCAACUUUAGAAGACAAAGGGAAUGAGGUGCUGUGGUCUGUGGUUGUGGAGCCGUGCAGUUUGCACAUCGGCUAGAGAAAAACGAUGACCCGCAUUGUACAGUACGUUGAGACACGGCUCAUUACCCCCAGGAAAAGGGAAAAAUGGAUGAGGACAUGAGGUCUGCAGGAGAGGAAAAAAAUAUACUCUCCAUAUCCGUACGCUUUAUGCCAUGCUUUCCCAACGCCCGACGGCAUUUCGCGCGACGUGAUUCCUCCGCUGGAAUUUCUUUCUGUUCCGGCGCACUUGUUCGACAAACCACUUGCGCAGGCCGUGCCGUGCCACGGCGAUGCACGACGUCACGGGCACGACUCAACUCGGGAGUCGGGACGCUUCGAGCCCCUUUCCACGCGCUGUUGGAGGCGCGAGUACAGGUACUAGAUGUUGAUACCUCCUCCAGCACGAUGCGUGGUGGCCGAGCCUCCGGAACGAGGAUAAGAUAAGCACCCGGCCAUGCACGACACGACUUGUCACCUUCGCCGGUCGUGAACGUAGUCUUUCGUCUACGCUUUGAAUCGCACACAGCGAGGAAAAUGACCCGGCGGCGCUUGAAUUUUGGACGCAGCCCGCUUUGGCCACCGCGCGGAGCACGCGGGGCGUCAAGGAGCGUGGUCUGCGCCGGCCACGACCGACGUGUCGAGACGGUGAUCCGGUCGUGUGAGAUUUCACUUGGGGAGGUCUCAGGUCGGCACACGUUUCAACCAUUCGAUCUCCUUGAUGUGGAUGUGCCAUUUUUAUUUGAUGAGACUUUGAAAGGGUUUGGAUGUCCUUUUUGUUGUUGACACGGUGCACUGUCGUUCUCUCCUCUCGGAUCCAAACUUCUCGUGGCCCAAUCGUUGCUCGCACAGUCGCCCCUGGACUUGUUCACGCGGGCCGCAGCAGUGGAGCACCAGUUCGAUCGAAAAGAUACAGCCCAAUCAGUGCUAGGCCAUAAUCAACUCCAGGGCCCAAUGCUUAAAGCAAAAAAGAUCCCACAGCUGGGCCUCCGAAGUGCCCGAAAGGCCCAAAACCAUCACACGCCACCGCGAAGCGAAACUGAGCAGCUAUAUAACGCUGCCGCGUCGAAACCCUAAGCCGCCGCCAUUCCUCAGGCUCACAAACCCUACCCGCACCCGCCGCCGCCCGCACCCCAGCAAGCAGCAGCCAUGCCGCCCAAGUUGGACCCCUCUCAGGUGGUGGAGGUGUUCGUCCGCGUGACGGGCGGCGAGGUCGGCGCGGCGUCGUCGCUGGCCCCCAAGAUCGGCCCGCUCGGACUCUCCCCGAAGAAGAUCGGUGAGGACAUCGCCAAGGAGACCGCCAAGGACUGGAAGGGCCUCCGCGUCACCGUGAAACUCACCGUUCAGAAUCGCCAGGCCAAGGUCUCCGUCGUGCCCUCCGCCGCGGCGCUCGUCAUCAAGGCCCUAAAGGAGCCCGAGAGGGACAGGAAGAAGGUCAAGAACAUCAAGCACAGCGGCAACAUUAGCCUUGACGACGUCAUCGAGAUCGCCAGGACCAUGAGGCCCAGGUCCAUGGCCAAGGAGUUGGCCGGGACCGUCAAGGAGAUCCUCGGGACCUGCGUCAGCGUCGGCUGCACCGUCGACGGCAAGGACCCCAAGGAUCUGCAGCAGGAGAUCGACGAUGGGGAGGUCGAAAUCCCCUCCGCGUAAAGGUAAAAUACGUCAGCUCUUCUUACAUUCAUUGUUUGGCGCGAUCACUAGAACUUACAUGAAACCAAUGCUAGUGUUAUUGUGUACUUUGGCUCUAGGACUUGUUUCAGUAAGCCGCACGAAAGCCAAAAUGUCUGCUUAUUCUGUAGUAUUACUUUGGGAUUAUCAAAGUUGGAAACUUUAGAGUGGACACAUUGGUUCUUGUAGUGAUGCAUAAUUGUCUAUCUCGGUAUGCUGUUGGUUCAAUAAUUUGUACUUUGAAUCUUGGCUUGUGACUUUUGAGAAGUUCAAAUGUUCAUUCUAGUUCAAUUAUCUGUAACCUGUCUUUUGGGAAGUUUAUCUGUACGCAUCUGUUAUGAUGAACAGUGUAAUGAAAUGAUGUGUUUCACGGCUUCUAUGUUCGUGGGGACAUAUAUAUACACGAAUUCACCAUGUUUUUUCAUCACUGUUAUUCAUUUCUGUGUCCUGAUUGAUUCUUCUCCAAAUCGUUGACCUGCUUGUAUGGCAUAUGAAUCGUUGAAUUAUUUCCAGGCCUUACUUUUUUUUGGCAACAAUAUUUUGAUAGAAUUGUCACAUAUUGCCUAUGUUCCAUGACAGACUACAUUUGAUAGUUGACUGACAGAUCGUUACUAGUGAUGUUCCUUUUCUUCUUGUGUUAUGAAGUAAUCCUCUACGCACAUAUCAACUAAUUCAUUUGUUCUCUAUGCAGGCUAGACAUCUAAGGAGAUUAUCAUCAGGUGCUACAGGAGUGUUCUGUUCCGUCUGCUGUUUAUGUACCUCACCAAACAAUGUGGCAGCGCCUAUUUUUGUCUUGGUUUAGUAGUUAUGCUGUGAGAGACCCCAAUGUUACUACUGCAUCCAUUUGGAGUCUGGAAUGGAGUUUUAAGCACUUGCUCAUCUUAAUCUCUAUACCACCUGUCAGGUGGAAGUUCCAUAUACCUUUUUAUUCCCUUGAUUUGAGUGGUCCUGUUGCCUGCUUUCAUUUUUCUGGUCAAUACUGUGUGCAACAAUUGUGACAGCGCAGAACACGCUGAUCCCUGAAGCGUUGCCCGUCUGCUGUGCUUCUCUACUCUUAUACCAAAUCUUCUCACGGCGAUAUUCGACUUCUGUUUGUCAAAAUCAUUCUUGCCCACUGGACGGUUUGGUGAUGUUUCUUGCACAUCUUUCUGGAGCUUAAAGCUAGUAAUGUACUAAUGUGUUUCAGCUCAAAGGCUUCCACAACUCGAUUCUGCAGCAACCGAGUCCGCUGUUCUGUGUGAUGUACCGGUGAUACGUGCUGGUAGAUGCAAGGGGCUCUCAAACCUACUUCAUAUUCCGUUGUAAAACUGUGAAAAAUUUUGAGCCUAGAUCAUGGCAGCACAGCUCUCAGCUGGAGAGACCUUCGCAAACCCGCUCUGGUUGCUGCCCGCGGCCUGCAUGGAGCUAGAAUGGAAGCAUCAUGCUCAUGCCUGCAUGCAGGAUUACUUGCAUGUUUGCGCAUGUCUGAAUGAAGCAAGUCGAAGUACUUGUCAUUCCCGUCGCUAUGUACCAUGAGCUCGUGUUUCGUUGUUGUUUACAGAAAAUUAAGAGAGGUGGGUGCAGCUUGCGUUCCAACUUGUUGUGAUCUCCUGCAGUGUUGGAUUGUCGUGUUCUGAUCUCGGUCUAAGGAUAGACGUCAUGCCCUUAGGCUUUAGUCGCUUCAAAGCCAGAGUCCAAUUCAGAAUCUGUCAAAGCCUGAAAGUCCUGUUCAGUGUAACCGUAAAUGCAGAAUCAAUGGUGCAGCCUAAACGUAAAUGCAUUCUGAUCGGUUUGAGAAACACAAAUAUGAAACAAGUGGUAAAUUACCUAUGGAGAAGCAGCAUGCGUCAUCGUGAACAAACAUCCUGGGAAUUGCAGGACUGUAAGUGCAGUCUACAGUGAAGGAAGCGAAUGCAAAUUGUGCAAAAGUGGCGCGGCAUGCAGUUGUGAAUUGUGAUGCCGGCCACCAGGGCUUGAACCAUGUGUUGCGCAAAAUAAUCCCGUGAAGGCUCAAGCGAACCGGACGCUGCAGCCACCAAUUCGAAGCCCGGGAUUGCAAAUGCAAAUUGCAAUGGCUGUUCGCUAGAGUCAGACGAAAAUGGCAUGAUAACAUGGAUAUCAUCUCAGAUUGGCCAGAAAAUUCCAGACUGAAAGUCCUCCUCUAUCCAUGAAUCCACCAACGUCGAUUGCCGAAACUGGCAAGCGGCCACUUUAACCUCCGUGUCCGACCGUAUUAAUAGUGUCACCCCAGCUGCUCACGGCGGCGCCAUCGCCGCCGCCGGCCAACAGGACGGAGGCUAGCGACGACUGUACGGCUGCGACUCUCACCGGUUGGGUACGGGAUUGGAAGACGCAGAGGAACCAACUGUCCAGGACUCUAGGAUAUGGCAGGCGGAGACGGCCGGAAUCCGGCGGUUCUCCGGCGAGCCACAGCGUGACGCGGUGCCACCGCUGCGGGAGCAGCUGGGGGCCGUUGGUACGGGUGCGUGGGGGGCCAUAGACGCAUAUUGAAGCGUGAAUCUACGGAGGCUCGCGUGGGAAGGCUGGUGGCGCUGCUGGCUGCGAUCGCCGGCGCAGCGCGACCUCGCCGGCCGGCGCGCGUGAGGAAGUACCAAAAUAUUGCAAAACCCCCCCUCAUUUGGACCCAUUUAUUUAUAAUUAGACCCCUGAAUUUUACAUAUAAGACCCUAAUUCGGAUCGCGAUUAUGGAUCGCAAUCCAAACUGGGGUCCUAUUUGUAAAAAAUCCGACUAUUUGCAGAUAGCCCCCUGUUUCGGAGCAUCUCCAUCCCCAGCCGUCCGGCGCCGGCGUCCGCGCCGCCCUCCGGCCUGAUCUGCUCCACCAGCCGCGAGCGGACUCUGAAGAGCGCACGGAUUGCUAUCGUCUCGCUUCCGCGCGAAUGAGCUCCCGCCUCCGUCUCCUCCCAGAUCGCGGUCGUUGGCUGCCUAUUGUCGCUGCGGCCGUUGCAGCCUGUGCCGCAACCGCGAGCGUGAGGAUGGUGGUUGCGAUUCGUUGGCGUUCGUGAUCUUCUUCUGCAUCUGCACAGUGCUGAUUGCUGAAUGGCCCUGAGUCACUACUCGUCCCCUUCCAAGCCUGCCGGGAGACAAAGGCUGAUUGUUCCUUGCUUUGGAGACUGCAAAUCAAGCCCAAGCUUAAUCUAAACUUCCUCGUCAUAAGCUAGGGUAUUUUAUUUGGACGCGCCCGUUUAGUCUUCUCGGUAUGCUGUUGGGUGAUGCAUUCUAUUUUCAAUAAAUUGUACUCUGAAUCUUGGCGUGUGACUUUGGGAAGUUCAAAUGGUCAUUCUAGUUCAACUCUCUGUAAUAAUCGGCCUUUUUGGAAGUUUAUCUGUAUGCAUCUGUUUAUGAUGAACAGUGGAAUGAAAUGAUGUGUGUGCUUCUAUAUUCCUGCGGACAUAUAUAUGUACACGAAUUCACCAUGCUUUAUUUUCAUCACUGAUUCAUUUCUGUGGCCUGAUUAUUUGAUUUUUCUCGAACCAUUGCCCUGCUUGUAUGGUAUAUGAAUCAUUGAAUUAUUUGCAGCCCUUACUUUUUUUGGCAACAAUGUUUUGAUAGAAUUCUCACAUAUUGCUUAUGUUCCAUGAGAAACUACUUAUGAUAGAAGAAUAACAUAUGCGUUACUAGUGAUGUUCCUUUCUGCUUGCAUUACGAAGAAAUCCUCUACACAUAUCUCACCAAUGCAUUUGUUGUCUAUGCAGGCUAGAUUAUGAUCAGAUGCUACUGAAGUUUUCUAUGCCGUCUGCCGUUUAUGUACCUCACCAAACUAAUGUGGCUGCACCUAUUUUUGUCUUGCUUUAGUAGUUAUGCUCUGACAGACCUCAAUGUUACUACUGCAUCCAUUUGGAGUCUGGGAUGGAGUUUUAAGCGCUUGCUCAUCUUAAUCUCUAUACCGCCUGUUAGGUGCAAGUUCCAUAUACCGUUUGUUGCUAUGACCUGUGUGGUUCGGUUGCCUGCUUUCAUCUUUCUUGUCAGUCUUCAUGCGCAGAACGCGUUAGCCGACGCUGAUGCCUGAACCGCUGCCCGUCUGCCAUACUUGUCUACUCCCGUCCCAAAUCUAAUAACGCUGACAUUCUACUUCUGUUUGUCAAGAUCAUUCUUGCCCACUGGACGGUUUGGUAAUGUUUCCUGCACAUUCCUCUGGAGUUUAAAGCUUUUCCAUUACUCGAUUCUGCAGCAACCGAGUCUGCUGUUUUCUGUGUGAUGUACCCGGUGAUACGUGCUGGUAAAUCCAAGAGGCCCUCAGACCAACUUCAUAUUCCGUUGUAAAACUGUAUGACAUAUUGUGAGCCUAAAUCAUGGCAGCACAGCUCUCAGUUGGAGAGACCCUCGCAAACCGGCUUCGGUUGCUGACUUGCUAUCCGUGGCCUGCAUGAAACUAGAAUGGAGUAUCAUGCCUGCGUGCAGGAUCAACUGUAUCGGUUGCUUGCAAGUUUGCAGGUCUGAAUGAAACAAAUCGAAGUACUUGUUAUUCCCGUCGCUAUGUACUAUGAGCUCGUGUUUCGUCGUUGUUUACUUAUGUUAAGAGAGGUAGAUGCAGCUUGUGUUCCGACUUGUUCUGAUCUCCUGCAGUGUUGGAUUCUCGUGUUCUGAAUCUCGACGAGGAUUCUAGUUAGAUGCAAAGAGCCAUGGCUCCGAGGUGUCCUCGGCGGAGGGAACGGAAGCUAGGGAGGCCCGAGCGCCGUGCCGCUCCGGCGAGCCGCGGCGUGAAGGCGCACGGGCGUAGGGGGACGGUAUUUCAAAUACCGUCCACCCCCUGGGCACCUGCCAAUCGUUCGAUUGAUACUGUACGACUCAGAUCGGCGCAGCUCAGGAGUCGCUUUCUCAUCAGGCACAGCAGCUGAAGGCCGCUGGCUGAGGACUAGCUCACUUUGCCAGCGAUGGAGGUCAACCGUGCCUGACUGGUGAGCACGAUUAAACGUGUUUGCGGAAGUGCCGCACCUUCUCGGGCCUCCCGUCUCCGACGAGGCUUGUCCCUCCGCCGCACGCGCUGGACGCCGUCGCCUGGACUGGAGGCGACCGGAAGCUGCUCGCGUAUGGAAUUGGCGCGGCAGGCAAGCUGAAAGCCUGCAAGAAAAAAACAUGGCGCAUCACCAGCCAUGGAGCGGGGACGGCCGGAAUGCGGCAGUUCUCCGGCUAGCCGCAGCUUAACGAGGUUCCACCGCCGCGGCCCGAGGGAGCAGGCGAGCAGCUAUGGAGUAUGGACCGUUGGUACGGGUGAGUUGGGGGGGGGGGGGGGGGGAGGGGGGGUUGGACCAGAGCCGAGUCCGUACAUGGGACUCGACGGAGGGUCGAGUGGGAUGGCUGGUGGCGCUGUUAGCUGCGAUCGCUGGCGCAUCGCGACCUCGCCGGCUGCCGCGCAUGAGGAAGAGCCAAAAUCGUGCAAAACACCCCUUCGUUUUGAUCGCGAUCCAGUUAUUUACAUUUAGACCCCUGUAGUUUACAUAUAGGACCCUAAUUCGCAUCGCGAUCCAAUCUGGGGUUCUAUUUGUAAACAGCAACCCGACUAUUUGCACAUAGCCCCCUGGUUUGGAGCAUCUCCGUCCCCAGCCGUCCGGCGCCGGCGCCGGCCUCCGGCCUGAUCUGCUCCACCUGCCGCGAGCGAACUCUGAAGAGCGCACGGAUUGCUAUCGUCUCGCUUCCGCGCGAACCACGGCCGGGUAUGGCAGCUUGGCCGACAGACGACACCUCCGCCCCUGUCGUUUGCCUACGGGUCUGGUUGGCACAGCUUAUGCGCCAGCUUCUGAGCAAGUUUAAGUCGCGGGCUGGCUAAACGCUCCGUUUCUAGGCCAGCUUCCCCCAGCAGCGCUUCUGGAUAGCGCAAGAAAACGAGAUAAACGCAGCAGCCGGACCGGACCAACUUAGCGCAGCUUAUCCUCUCCACCCGUCUCUUCCCCGAUCCAAUCCUCCCUGCCCGUGACCCCUGCGCCGGCCCCCGCGACGCCCCCACGCCGGCCCCCACGCGACGCCCCGCGCGCCGGCCCCCGCGGUGCCGCCCAGCGCCGCCCCCCGCCGGCCCCCGCGACCCCCCCGCGCCGGCCCCCGUGGCGCCGCCCAGCGCCGCGGUAACUUUGAUCCCCACAGGCAACUUUUUCCAGCUUUGCUCAAUCCGUUCAGUUUGCAGUUCAUGCAUCUGUACUAGAUCUGAUUUCUAGCUUCAAAGGCACCAUCUUAUAUUUUCUUGUCAACGUAAACUGCUACAUGUUGUCAUCGUCCAUGCAUUAGUGAUCUUGCAUAGCCAGAGUUAGAAGUGCAGUUAAGUGUGAAGAGCAAGUCGAUUUUUUGUAGAAAUUUUGUGCAUUCGCUGAUCACUCAGUUGUCAGUUGAUAUAGCCUCUUAGUUGUUUUCGUAGGAGUUAGGAUUUCUGAUCUAAUAAUGCGAUGUCUGCAUUGCUGCUCAUUAUCUGUAUGCUGUUUGAAUGUAUACCAUCAAAUCAAUACUUGGCACCUUAUUUUGUUGCACAGAUCAACAUUUCGUUAGCUUUAUAUCUUGGUAGAUGUCUGUGCUUAUGAUCAGAGCUUAUGGCUGUCUUUAUUCUCAUUAUUGUUCAGGAAUCGUGCAAACAAUCGGCGGAAGUCUGGAGGUACAUUCCUUCCAAUGCAGUUAGUUAAUUUUUGUUAUGCUUUUCAGUCACUUGUUCUGAAUAAUUUUCGACUAAUUUAGUUGAUAUGAUCUGAUUCAUUUACUGGGUUUUAUGGUCCAACAUCUGUGUUCGCUUGCUGCAAAUGGACAGCCUAUUACCAUAGUUUCAGCUUCAUAAUUCACGUUGGUGAUGAGGAUAAUAUGGGAGAUGUACGAGAUGCUAUUGCGCAAGCAUUGGCUGGAGGAUAUUGAUAAUGUAAUUUACGCAAAAAAUUGAUGUAAUGACACUCUAUUAUCUAAUUUAUAAUUAAGUAUCAUUAUUUUAUUUAAGAGUAAUUUAUGAUUAAUUGUUUGAUAUAUUUGUGUUGUUAAUAAUUCUAUUGUUAUUCUGUUAUAAAAAUAAAUAAAUAUAUAUCUGUACAUAAGAAAUACAUGUAUUCAGUAAAUAGUAAGGGUAUUUCAGUCAUUUCUCACUUCAGACAGUAUUUCAGCCUAUUCAAUAAGCAGUCUGCCAAACAUUUAACUUCUGUGAUCAGCUGCUUCUUUAAUAAGCUGCUUCCAGCUAGCCACCAGCUGCCUUCAGAAUAAAUUUCAGCUAUGCCAAAUACACCCCACGUCUCCUCCCAGAUCGCAGUCGUUGGCUGCCUGCUGUCGCUGCGGCCGUAGCAGCCUGUGCCGCAACCGCGAGCGUGAGGAUGGUGGCUGCGAUUCGUUGGUGGCCGGUGAUCUUCUUCUGCAUCUGGACAACGCUGAUUGUUCAAGCCACCAUCCUUUGAAGGUGUCACCACUCGUCCCCUUUGAAGAAGCCUAUCGUUGAAGCCUGCUGGGAGACAAAGGCUGAUUGUUCCUUGCUUUGGAGGCUGCAAAUCAAGCCCAAGCUUAAUCUGAACAUCCUCAUCAUAAGCUAUGGGUUUAUAUUUGCAAGCGUACGUUUAGUCAGAAAUUGAUGGUCUACCAAGGUGGUCUGGACUGCAUAUAUAUGUUCCUUGCAUAUUUCAUUGAGCUUAAAACUAAUGUGUUCCACUGUACCACUACUCGAUUCUGCAGCGACCGGGUUUGCUGUUCGGUGUGAUUACCCAGUAUUACGCGCUGGUAAAUGCAUGAGGCCAGCAAACGAACUUCAUAUUCCAUGCGUGUAUGCAGGAUCAACAGUAGAGUAGUGUGAUUGCUACGUUUGCAUGUCUGAAUCAAAAGUAUGCUAUACUAGUAGCAAUGUACCAAGAGCUCGUGUUUACUCGCUGUUUUUGAUGGAAAUUAAGAGAGAUGCCUGCAGCUUGUGUUCCAACGUGCUCUGAUCUGCAGUGCUGGAUUUCGUUCUGAUCUCGACGAGGAUAGACGCCAGGCCCUUAGCUUGUGGCCUUCAGUUCAGUGUCACCUAUCUUCCAGCUGAUCAAGAAUCAAUGGUGCAGCGUAAAUUCAUUCCGAUCGGUUUGGGAAACACACACAUGACAAAAUAUAUGUGAAAACAAAUCACAAUGUACCUUCGAGAAGCAGCAUCUGUCAUCGUGAUUCGUGAACAAACAACCUGAAAAUUGCAGCAUUGUAAUGCAGUCUACAGUGAAGGAAGCGAAUGCAAAUUGUGCAAACGUGCUAGUAGCACCAUGCAUGGUGCGGCAUCCAGAUAAGAUGCUGACCACAAGGAACAACUCCACAAGGGCUUGAACAAUGCGUUGCGCAAAACAAUCCCUCGAUGGCUCCAACCAAACGAUGCAGGCGCCAAGGAGAAGCCGCGCAUGAAUCCCCUGAACGGCUGCACGCCACCAACGUCGAUUGCCGAGCUGCUCACGGCGGCGCCAUCGUUGCCGCCGGCCAACAUGACAGAGGCUUCGUUAGUUCCUAUGACCUCGACAUCUGUUUCAUUUCUGCAACUUGCGCCGGCGUCUUCAACAGGGACAGAGCAACAGAGGUGUGUGGGUGGCUGGGUGCUGGUCGCGCACAUGGCAUGAUGCCAAGGCAGGGACUCCGAGAGGAAGGUCAGGGACGGAGGCUAGCGACGGCCAUACGGCUGCGGCUCUCACCGGUGGCGGGAUACGGAAUUGGAUGAAGUAGAGUAAAUAACCGUCCAGGAGAUGGCAGGUGGGGACGGUCGGAAUCCGGCGGCUCUCCGGCGAGCCAGUGCGUGAAGUGGUGCCACCGAUGCGGGAACAGCUGGGAGCCGUUGGUACGGGUGCGUGGGGAGCAAUAGCCGCAGCUUGAAGUGUGAGUCUACGGAGGCUCGCGUGGGUGGAUAGAGGCGCUGUUGGCUGCCAUGGCUGUCGCAGCCCGACCUCGCCGGCAGCCGCGCGUGAGGAUGACCCAAAAGCUUGCAAAACAUCCCCUCGUUUGGAUCGCGAGAUCCAAUUAUUUACAUUUAGACCCCUACAUUUUACAUCUAGGACCCUAAUUUGGAUCGCGAUUAUGGAUCGCGAUCCAAACUAGGGUUCUAUUUGUAAAAACUAAUCCAACUAUUUGCGGAUAGCCCCCUGGUUUGGAGCAGCCCCACCCCAGCCGUGCGGCGCCGGCGUCCGCGCCGCCCUCCGGCCUGAUCCUCUCCACCAGCCGCGAGCGGACUCUGAAGAGCGCACUGAUUGCCGUCAUCCCGCCUCCGCGCGAUUGAGCUCCCACGGUCGGGCAUGGCAAGCUGGCAGCUUGCCCGACAGCAGACACCCCGCCUCCGUCUCCUCCCGGACCGCGGUCGAUGGCUGCCUGGGGCCGCUGCGUCCGUAGCAGCCUCUGCCGCAAGCCCGCAACCGCGAGCUUGGGGAUGGUGGCUGCGAUCCGUUGGCGUCCAUGGCCUUCUUCUGCAUCUGCACACUGCUGGUUGCUGAGUGACCCAGAGGUGGCGAGCCCUGCUGUGUUCCGCCUGCCGCGCUCCAGCUGGGCGUUCGUGGGCCGGCUGGGUGCGCUCUUCUCUACACACCCGCUGAUUUCGGGCAGGGGCCAGUGCCACAUUUGCCCGGUGGCGGCCGGUGAGGGUGAUGCCCUGCUGCCCCGGAGGGUGCGGUCCGGCGGCCGGCAAUCCAGAGCGGCUGGCGGCCGGGGUAAACACCGGCGCCUGGUUGGUUGCCCCGAGGGACUGUUGGUGCACGGCGAGUUGCGCUGCGCUGAACAGGAUUGCGCCGGUAUGGAGUAUGGAGUACGGAGUAUGGACUACAGACACCAGCAGAAGAAGCUUCUUCGAUUUGGUUGUGGUUGCGGCAGCCAUUUCGGUCCUUUUGGGUCGGAUAGCAACCGGUCGAUUCCAAGUUGAAGCAUUUUUUUUCUUUGAAAACUAAAGUUGAAGCAUUUUCAGGUUACAUUUCCUCGUCCUAAUCAAGUAGUAGUAGCAUGCAUUGAGCUAUUCAGAUAUGCUUCGAACCUACAGUGCACAGUGCACAGUGCUUGGACAAACAAAUUGACAGAUAUACUAUGCUGCUCCUGUUUAGUUCCCUCCAAAUUCCAACUUUUUACACUCUCUCUCCAUCACAUCAAUUCUGUGACACAUGCAUGGAGCAGUAAAUAUAUGUAAAAAAAUAACUAAUUGCACAGUUUAAUUGUACAUCACGAGACGAAUCUUUUUAGCCUAAUUAGUCCAUGAUUAGAUAAAAUUUAUCAAAUAUAAACGAAAGUGCUACGGUACUCCGAUUUACGACAUUUGUAAUUUGGGCUGCAUCUAAACAAUGCCUAGCUUGUACUCGUUUUUUUAAUAACUAGCUUCUACUAGCACUGGGGUUAGUGCUGAUUGGUCAUGCUUCUGCGGUUCCUGGAUUUCUGAACUCUGUGCCAGUUGCACGUGGUCAAAGAUUCCCGGCGCUCGCUGCGGUGGAUGGAGAGCGACCCCCGGCCAGCUUUAGCUUUCAUGAGACAGCGACGCGGCCGUAGGGAGUUGGUGGAAGCGAUUUCACGUGCAAGCGCUGUCAGCCUAGACGACCUGAAGUCUGGUGAUAACACACGCACUGAUCGCUGUUUCAAGCCUAGUGUUUCUAAGCUCCUCCUCUACGAUAUCAGUAUGUCACUUGGCCAUUCCUGAAGAAAUCGCUUGGUGGCAUGCAGCGAGAGACCCAGAGAGGCCCGUACAAGCCUAGUGUUUCCUACGACGAGGCGAACUGCUGAUUCCCACGCACGCGUGAGUGACCGAGCGAGGAGCGAACAAUCCCUCUGGUUCGUGGUUCCUUCUCCUUUCACCGCUGUGCCAUGCGCUGAGCUUGGGCGGUGACAAUGAGCCAUCCACAUCCACUGAGAGAUCCGCACGCCGACGCUCCAUAGACCAUAGCCUUGCGCGCUCUUGCGUAGCGCAGGCACCCAAUGGAUUGGAUUGGAUUGGAUCGGCCGGCCAACAAGGCAACGAGUGAUGAAGUGAUCCCUCCCAUGCUCGAUUCAACUCGAGAACGAUGCUUGGGGGCCGCGCUGCCCGGUGCCCAGCCGAUGUGAGUGCAGGUACAUGUCGUGCAUGCUGCCUGGCUUUGGCUCCCUGCCCUGGUACGCGUGUGGACAAAAUUUGUUCACGCACACGAACUGUUUCUGCGAGCCUUCUGAGAGAGGACAGAGGGCGCGAAUUAGAGGUCGGAGCGUCGGAGCCAUUGCAAGCUGUUGGGGUUGGGCCUCAGCUCGUGUGCUAGCAACCGUCCUCCUGUCAAGCAGAUGAUAAAGUUCAAGAGAUCUUUUUUUUCUAAAGAAAACGUACAGGGAGCCAGUCAAAUUGCACUGUGUCUGGGCUCCUGGCCCCUGACAUGGUGGUGAACUGGUGCGUCGUACUCGGCAGCGUAGUGGAUGUACUACUCGGCAGCGUACCAGUUGCCUGUCAAGCAUUGCGCUUGCAUGCUGGUGCGCGGGGAGGCAGAAAAGCCUGAGCAGCACCUGCAUCGGUUUAGGGUGCUUGCACUUGUCCGCGCACGCAUGGCCGAUGCCCUACAUUAUUUUUUUUUAAAGGUACCCUCCACGAUUUUCCGGAUAGCCUCCAACGAUCGAUCCAGUGCACUGUCUUCUUUUCUUUUCCAGCAUUUUCCUCGCCUUUCUUUUCCUCUCCCUUCAUGUUACCGGAACACUAGCAAGUGUUCUGACACGACCAGGUGUUCAGAGAAAUGGAGGAAAAGAAAAUAGGAUGGUGCAUGGUCCCAAUAUCUUUAAAGCGAAGGUUAUUUCUGUACAUAUUGAGGCCCGGCACUAUUUUCUUAGCAGGGCAGAUGCAUAAGUUAAUUUUUGGGUACUCUCCGGUCCUUCAUGAAAAGUGAGGAUUUAGGAUACAUUCUGUUGAUCAAAGCUUUGUAUUUUUUUUACAAAACACAGUACAGAUACACAGGAAAUUCUUAUACACGUACGGAUUCUUAUCCUUAUAAAUAGACACACAAUUCUAGUCUUAGAGCACCAUCCGAGCGGCUCGUAUACAUGAAACAUGUCAUGUCUAGCAGACAUCUAGGUUACCAAAGGCAACUAAUAAAUAUCAAUCUAGAAAAGAGCAAAACGCUAAAUUGCCUGAUCUAUGCAAGACUAGCAAGCUCGAGCAUCUAUCAACACGGUAAAGAAACACCGCAUGAUAGAAUAUUAAUACGCAACCAGGAUACGACUAGCUGACUACGUGGCAUGGUAGGCAAAUUUGCCGAGAAGGCUCUAAUGCCGUGCACAGUGUGGAGUGAUGCCCCAAAAAAAUGGGCCCCGUAGCGAAAAAAAACUGGCAUCACGCUUGCUAUGUUGCAAUGUGCGAGCAUCGCUGCGGACCCAGUUGGUAAUAAAAAAAAGAUAGAAUUAAUUUUUGGGUAGGCUUCCAAACAACUCGAACGUGUGUAUAUCUAUAUCUAUAUAUAUAUAUAUAUACACGCGCCACGACAGGACUACACGCUGCAGCUGCGCAUUAUUAGGCUCGCCGUUUCUUCUUUUUAUGCUCCAGCACGCACGUAAUGUAGGGGUGGGGGGCGUAGAAUCUAGACUGUCAAAUCGCGAGACGGAGGACGACGCAGCUUUUCUACAGGACGAGUCGUUUUCACGUCGUGUAGUAUAGGAGCGGUAGCAGGGCUCGCUCGCUCGCUCGCCGCAGUCGAUCGACAAGCACGGCAGCGUAAAUGCAUGCACCACAGAAGCUACAGUGCAGUGCGUCGCAAGGAAACCAGUGAGGAUUUGUCAAGUCAACCGGAUGCCCGCGCCCGCGCCGGCCCGGAGCUCAGCGCGACGCCUGCAAAACAGUAGCCGCUAUAUAACAGCACUCCGACGCUCGGCGAGCCAAAGCCUAGCAAGCAGUGCCAAGGCGCGAGGAACAACUACCCAAGGGAGAGGCCGAGAGGGGCAAAGCCUUGCUCGCAGGCGCGCACGGAUGGAUCCUAACGACGCCUUCUCGGCUGCGCACCCGUUCCGGUGGGAUCUGGGGCCCCCGGCGCACGCCGCGCCGGCGCCGGCGCCGCCUCUGCCGCUCGCGCCGCAGUUGGGAGCGCCGAGGGAGCUGGAGGACCUGGUGGCGGGGUACGGCGUGCGCCCGUCGACGGUGGCGCGGAUCUCGGAGCUCGGGUUCACGGCGAGCACGCUGCUGGGCAUGACGGAGCGCGAGCUCGACGACAUGAUGGCCGCGCUCGCGGGGCUCUUCCGCUGGGACGUGCUGCUCGGCGAGCGGUUCGGCCUCCGCGCCGCGCUGCGCGCCGAGCGCGGCCGCGUCAUGUCGCUCGGCGGCCGCUUCCACGCUGGGAGCACCUUGGACGCCGCCUCACAGGAAGGUAGGUAGUAUGUGUGCUCGGUCAUUUUUGUGCUGUGUUUUUUGCUUGUGAAGAUGCGAUCGUGUGCAUGCGUCAAUGCAUGCGUGCGAACAGUGUGCAUAUAUAUAUGCGAUUGUGCUUGUCUGUGAUGCCGGUUUUUUUGUUAUGCAUUCGCUACGACGAGCAGUGCUGUCCGACGAGCGCGACGCGGCGGGCAGCGGCGGCGUGGCGGACGACGAGGCCGGCAGGAGGAUGGUGACCGGCAAGAAGCAGGCGAAGAAAGGCGCCGCCGCGGCGAGGAAGGGCAAGAAGGCGAGGAGGAAGAAGGAGCUGAGGCCGCUGGACGUGCUCGGGGACGAGAACGAUGGCGACGAGGACGGCGGCGGCGGGUCGGAGUCGACCGAGUCGUCCGCGGGCGGCGGCGGCGGUGGCGGGGAGCGGCAGCGGGAGCACCCGUUCGUGGUGACGGAGCCCGGCGAGGUGGCGCGGGCCAAGAAGAACGGGCUGGACUACCUGUUCCACCUGUACGAGCAGUGCCGCGUCUUCCUGCUGCAGGUGCAGUCCAUCGCUAAGCUCAGCGGCCACAAGGCCCCAACCAAGGUACGCACACGUCAAUUGGAUUAGCUGCAUCACAUUGAUUUUGAAGACAUUUUAUGCAUACGAUGAUAAGAACACUUUUUUUUGAAACAAAUGAUAAGAACACAAGCUCCUGUAGAAUUGUAGAUCUAGUGACCUAGAUUUCGUUCCAGCCUCAUGAACAGUAGAAAUGUGGGAUAAACAGCAUUGCAGCCUCGUGCCCUUGUAAGAUCAUUGUCAAUCUAGAAGCUGCUGCCACUGUUGAACUCAACUUUGACUCUACCACAGUAACACGUGGUACAUGUAUCACUGUGUUUAUUCACUUAGAUUCACACAAAGUAAAGCUUGAAAGUUUAACUUAAAGAAUCUUAAGUAUGAUUAUUCACUUAUACCUAAUAUAAAAUGUGGUGGCACGCAAAAGAGGCUUUACUUGUAAACCAAAGCAAAUAGGAGUAGAGUGGUCUUGCGCCACUGUAGUUCACCGAGUAGUCCUCGAUGUCCGAUGCACAAGUACUCGUACCGCGAGUAUUUUGGUGGACACUGGGCACGCACACGCACGUCGAUGCGCAAGCACCUGGAAAAGGAGAGCGACGUGUCAGCCCUGGGUAGGCUGGCAAAGCCUGCGCCGGCUUGUGUUGUCUUGUCCGGCUCCGUGGCGUCAGGUUCAGAUGGAUAGACGGGCAUGCAUUACAUGGACAUGGACGCCCCCUCUCGGGCUCCGUGGCCUGUGCCCUGCUGCCACCGGUUUCGCACGUACGAGCCAUGUGAUCUCGCUUUCGCCUGCUUGGAGAUGGUGCUGCGAGUGCGGUGGAGUGAAGUGAAUGCACGGCCCUUGGCCUGGCCGGAUUCCGGGGUGAUUGGAUGUGAUGGCCUUCCUGACCCUGCCUGAUCCUGGACGGGGGCAUCGAUGCGCUCCUGCCUCCGCGCCAGGCGCACCCAAAGCUAGCUUGUUCGCUCCGUGAGCUGCCUCCGUGCGUGCGCGCGUCACGACGCGCGCACGCAGCGGCGGGGCACGAUGCCGGAUCACGGAAGUCUGAUGGGUUUGUGCGCGUGGCUCUUGCAGGUGACGAACCAGGUGUUCCGGUACGCGAAGAAGUGCGGGGCGAGCUACAUCAACAAGCCCAAGAUGCGGCACUACGUGCACUGCUACGCGCUGCACUGCCUGGACGAGGAGGCCUCCAACGCGCUGCGCCGGGCGUACAAGGCCCGCGGCGAGAACGUCGGGGCGUGGCGCCAGGCCUGCUACGCGCCGCUCGUCGAGAUCGCCGCUCGCCACGGGUUCGACGUCGACGCCGUCUUCGCCGCGCACCCGCGCCUCGCCAUCUGGUACGUGCCCACCAGGCUGCGACAGCUCUGCCACCAGGCGCGCGGGAGCCAGCACGCCGCCGCGGGGCUCCCGCCGCCCCCGAUGUUCUAGCCGCGCCGCGCGGCGGCCGUGUGUGCUUCCUUUCAGGGCAGGCAGUUGGAUGGGUGGUCUCGUCGAGAAUGGAUGGAUGUGUGUGCUUUCUGUGAUGUUGUCACUCGUUUGCUGUAUUCUGGCUAGUUACGUAGGAAUGGGCUUAGCAAAUCAGAAAAAAGAGGGAGUGGGCUUAGAAGGUGAGACAUUACUUUGUUGGGCCUGAGCAGGCGGGACAACAGCUUGGAUGCCCCACUCGUUGGGCCUAUGUUGCAUUGUAUCUUGUCCUGGUGAUCAUGGUUAAAAAAAAAAGUUGUGUCCCUCAGUGUCGUAAUUAUGCUUUCAUAGCUGUCCCAUUUGUUUACUGGUCCACAUGGAAGUCUUUGAGCUGCACACAAGUAUGCACGAAACACAUAACAAAUGGUUCGACUGACAGAGGGACCAAAACAGAGUAUGCACGCCGGCAAAUCUUCCAACAUGAGGCAUCGAUUGCUCAGGUAGUCACGUGCUUAAAAGUUAAAUCUCCACUCCAGAAUCCAAAAUGCACGAGCCCGGAACACUAAAACGCAGCUGCUCUCUUUCUACUCAGCCCAGAACCUUUUAAUUCACCCAUAAAUCGGUCUUUCGAAAAAGAGAUGGGCAACAAGUGGCUCACUGGCCACUUCCCCACCACGCGCCUCAGCAUCACACCUCACGAUCCAUUCAAUCUUAGGCCCUAUAGGAGUGCAGUUAAUAGACUUGAGGCUUUUUCAGUUUGAUGAUGAUUGAAAAGAAUUGGAGAAGAUUAAAUCCUGUACACGUCAAAAUUCCUCUCAAUCCUCUUGGUGAUGGUAUCUAUCUUUAUCUUAUUAUAAUAGUAUUAAAGAAGCUAUCACAUUCACCAAGAGGAUCUAAAAAUUACCACAUUAAUCAGAAAAGGAGAAAAAUAUAUACCGUUAGAUUUUAUAAAGAUGUAACCGUUUAGACUCACCUAAGAGUCCAAGUCAAAUACGACUAACAAAUAUAUUUGAAAAUUAGGAAUAAAAAUAAUUAGCUCAAGAGUCCAUACUCCAUACGCAAUAUUGUACAUGUGACAUGUACAAAACAUGGAAUCUUAUAUUUUGGAUUGAACGGCAGCCUGGUCCGGAGCUGCGAGGCAAGCCUAGGCGGCCGGUGUAGUUUAGUAGCAACUUCAAAACAGCCAUGAUCAAAAGUAGUUUGUGUGGGCACAUCCGAACAAGAGUCUUAAAAGAAUUUUCAGAACAACUGGACAGCUAACAUUAGAAUGUGUGUUAAGCUGCAAGCUAUGUUUUUAGUUUGGAUAUUAUAUCGGUUUAUAACUUUUAAGCAGAUAAUAAGACUCCAUUUGACACGGCUACGGCUCCCUCGAAAAUAGCUCCGGCUCUGAUUUCUCUGGUGGAGUGGUAUUUUUUAUGAAACCGAAACCGUUUUGAAAAAUAUUUAGCAAAACCGCACCUCCAACUAUCCACGAUACCUUUGUUUUCUCUAAAAUUUUUUUUCUUCCUAAUUUUUCUACUUAUUUUUCUUUUAUUCUUUCUCUCUCAUCCUUAUCUGCUCUUCUUGCAGCUCGCCGCUCGUGCCUGCUCCACGUGGUCCGUGUGUCUACCGCUCGUCCUUGUCCAUCCGUUCGUUCCUUAUCCUCCUCUACAGCUAUCGCUGUGCUCAGUCCUCUUCUCCAGCUAUCCGUUCGUUUCUUCUCCAGCUCGUUCGAUGGCACUCGUCAGUUCUGGUGCCCCUGCCAUGCCACGUGCGGCACUCCGCUCCGGCCUCGCGCCCCGCAACGCUCCCUCGCGUCCCCGCGACGCUCUCCCGCUGCCUCGCACUCCAGCGGCCUGCUACCUCCGCCCCACUGCCGCCCGCCUCGCAUUCCCGCGACGCCCUCCUGCUGCUUCACGCUCCCGCGGCCGGCUACCUCCGCCCCCGUCGCCGGCCUUCGUGCUCGCGCCUCCCGUCGCCGGUCGUCGCGCCACCUGCGGAGGGCAAAGAGGGCAGCCACGCGGAGGAGCUGCGGGGAGCCAGUGUUUUCGGCUCCAACUCCACCGAAUGGCUCCUCUUAGCGGAAUUUUAGGGGCUUCUCCGCCGGAGCCGUUUACCUUCACCCCGUUUGGUAGAGCUCCAGUAGGAGCCGCUCGAGGAGCUGGAGCUGGAGCUCCCCCAAAGAGGCUCUAAGGGCCAGUUUGGUAGAGCUCCAACUGAUCCUGAUUCUCUGUGGAAGCUGAUUCUCUGAUAAAAGUGAUUCUGUGGCUGAAGGUGAUUCUCUUUGAUUCUCUAGCAUAAACUUUUAAAAUUAGGAUGGAGAAUCACUUCACAGAAUCAGGAGAAGCUACUUUUUUCAGCUCCCAGCCUCUUAGUUCAUUUCAGAGAAUCACUCCACAGAAUCAGCAGAGAAUCACUUCUCUCUGAAAAACUGUUUGGCAGAGCUCUUGCUGGAUUCAGCAGAGAAUCAGCUCUGGGAGCUCUGCCAAACUGGCCCUAACUAUGCCCACAACCAAGAGGAAAUUGCAGCAGGUGUCCGAAACAGCUUUUAGAAGUGAGUUUGUCGAAGUCAUAUAUGAGUCUUUUCAUGCACAAAAGUAGCACUAUGAGGAAAAACUUAAAUGAACUAAUCAAAUAGAUUCCAGGUAUAACAGAACUAACUAGCAUGCCCUGAUGUAGACAAAACCCUGAUGGAUAUAUUGUCUUAUGAGUUGGGUAUUAAAAGAGUCUCUAUGACCACACUAAAAAGACUAGAAAUUGCCAUAUUAAUAAUAGAGAAAAUACAUUAUAUUGUGAACUAAAAAAAAAGGCGAACUGAGUGUUCUAAUACGAUUAUUUUGCUCAAAAUUUGCAAAUCACCAAUAAAUUUACAAAAUCCAAAAAAGGUGGAAUCUUGAAGAGGGUAUGUCAUGGCAAAGAGAUCUAUCUACCGAAUCGACAUAAAAGUGCUAUGUGACCAAGGGAGUGAAGUAACCACCCAGAGAUUUUGACGAAGUCAACGGAUAAGGUGAUAGGGUUGGCGAAGUGGAAGAGCAGAGGAAAUUCAACAAUAUCAACCUCUUGACACCACGCCCUCUACACGACAAGUGAAGAAGCCACACCGUCGUGGCUAGAAGGUAGCUUUAUCAACUCGUAAAUGAACGGAUCCACCAAAACAAGACUAAAGAGACAAGUCAGAUAUCCAUCCGUGUAUGUAAGCUAUAUAAUUGGGCUGGAGUAGGGUUAGCUACGUUCGCUAGCUCCUAUCAAUAAAAUCACCCAUAUCAUGAAUAAUCGGUGUCGUAACUAGAGAAAAUUUACAUUACAUGACUAAAAGGUUAUAUUACUUUUAGUAAACAUGAAAACUAUGUUCCUACAUAUAGCAUCCCCAUAUUUAUUAUGAGUACAUAUUUCGCGCUAUAAAAUUUGAUGAUAAAAAGACGCUAUAUAUCUUGGUCUAGAACGUUAGGAUAAAACGAUAAAAAUGAAACAACAAAAUAAAAUUAUUUGAAUAAAUCUAUUUUAAAGUUAAACAAAGAGCCUAAAGUUUAGGAUUGAAAAAAAUAUUAACUACAUAUGCUAUUUACGCGGGACACCUAGCUAGUUAACCGAACCAAGUCGUGAAUUGAUCCUUUCCGGUCCUCUCUAAUCCUCUUGGGGCCCGGAUUACUAGAAAAAGGUCUAUUCUUCGUUUUUCCUUUUCCUUCCUGUCACAUUUGCUAUCCACUAGCUAGUUAGGCUGAGUCCAGUGCAUCGCCUCACUCUCACCCUGCCAUGUCAGCUCUCGCCCCCACUCUCACCCCACCCCUCCAAUGCAGAGGCUAUAGUGUCAGCUCUCACUUCUCUCUCGUCCACGUCAGGUUUUCUUUUUCAGAUUUAAUUAUUUCACUCUCUUUUGUUCGCGUACGCAAAAUAAUUUAAUAAACUAAUUUUAUUCAACUAAAAAAAUUACCGAUUACAUCAUAAUUGAAAAAGGAAAUUACAUCGCAAUUAAAAAUAGCAAAAAUACAUAAUAAUUAAAAGAAAAUUCUAAUCCUCCUCCGAAUCCUCGUCUAGUCCAAGCUCUUUUUCCACCAUCUUGAUAGCCUUGAAAUGAGUGCGUUUUUCUGCUUCGUCCAUAUCCGCGGUUGAUCGGGACUUUAUUAUGUUCCAUUGUUUGAAUAGUUUAGCCUUCACUAAGCCACCCCACAUGUUCUUCAUUGCAAAUGCUUUACUUCCUACCGCACUGCUUGAUGAGGAUUCCUUCCCCUUAGCCUUCUCCUUCAGCUUAGCCGCCUUGGCCCUAUCACGGCCUAUUGGACGAGUCUCAUUGUCCUGCUCGGUGUCUUCUGUUCCGCCGGAGCUGUACUCACCCGAAACUCCGAGGCGGGUUCUCUUGCCACUCACAUCGGAUCCACUGUUAGGACCAUGUUUCGCAGCCCACUUGGGUUCGUGGCGAACAGCUCUCCACCAAUGAUGGCGCUUCAAUGCUGUCGUCACUUUCGGGUCGUUCUCGUACCUCGCCAUCGCCCCCUCCAUGACCAUUGCAUCGUCUGCUCCACUCUAACGUACUCUUUCUUCUUGGAUGUAGUAUCCAUUAAACAGGGCCACCUCGUGGUUGCACACGGUUCUUCGCGGUGCGACGACGGGACGGCUCCGCGGUAGAGUUAAAGGUCUUCGCUAUUUGGCCCCAAAAACUCGAACCGGUCUGGUUGUUGCCGGUGAUAGAGUCAUUCGAGUGAAAAACCCAAGCAUGUACCUAGCCCGAACAUAUUGUUAGUUAUUUAAAAAACACGAUAUUUAAAUACAUUAACACUAAUUAAAUUACCAGUUUUUCCUCGUCCGCAAUCGUCCAGUCAAGUCUCUUUGGACGCUUUGGUUCGGUCAUUCCCGCUCCUUCAUUUUGAGACUCAAUGGAGACGGAGCUUGGAACCAUGGGUGCCGCGUGCGGAGGUGGUGGGUAUAGACCAUAUGGAGGUGGAGCGUAUGGAGGUGGAGCGUACGAAGGUGGUGGGUACGGACCUUCAGUCCCGCUCCUUGUGCCUGGAGGUGGAGCAUACGGAGGGGGAGCAUAUGGAGGUAUUGGGUAUGAGUACGGACCGUACGGAUAAUGAUAUGGCGGUGGAGGUGCCCCCAAAGCCGGAGGUGCAGCAGGGGGGAAUAAUGCCCGGGGUUGCGGCGAAGAAUUGACAUCGGAACGGCGAUGCAUCAGAGAAGGGUCAUCUUGGGGAGAUGAUUGUGACCCGUCGGACUGCAAGAGAUCGGUGAAGGUAUGAAAAUCUGAAGACCAACCGGUCAUGGUGGAAGAGAUUUCGGAUUGUAGAGGAGAGAAAUGAGUUCAAAUGGGGUGUGGAAGGAGUGAAAACCGGGUGGGGUAUUUAUAGGGGGUUGGAGAUGAAAUUUGAAAUUUUUUGCAAUUUUUUUCGAAUUUUUUGAAGUUCAAACGGUCAAAUAACGGCUAGUUCAACAGAUAGUCCGCGUGGACCAAUCAAAACGCGCCACGUCACGUCCUCUCGCCCGGGGCCCGCCGCGCCAACGCACCGCCUGCCUCUUGCCCGCCUACCGCCCCGCCGCGCCUGCCAACGCGGGCGAGAGCGGGGCGAUAGCGCCCGCUCUCGCCCGGCGGUAGCACUACCGCCUUCUCUCUCCCUCUCGCCUGUCUCUCGCCCGUCUCUCGCCUGGGCUGGGGCGAUAGGGGGGCGGUAUCGUCCCUCGUUGGCACCAGCCUUAGUCUCUUUGGAAGUCAUCAUACGGUUUCUCCAUGGAGAAAGUUCUGGUUUACUGGUUCGAACCUCAUGAUGCCUUGACUCACACGUUGUCUAGUCUUCCACUCACCUGUGAUAGAGAUAUAAGUUUUUUUAAGAAACAUAGUAUAGACGCAGACGCUCACAAACACGUACGCACACUCACCCCUAGGAAAAUACGCACGCAACCCUACCUCUAUAAACACCUCCAAGAGAUUGAGCUGGUAAAUCCUUGAGAUUGACGAAGUCAUCACAAGCACCUCGCUGUCGAAGGGAAUGUCGCCUACCACUGAAAGCACAACGCCGUUAAAUCUUAGAAAAUUCGCUCCCACAAGGAGUCGAAACCAUAACCUUAGAUGCUACUGAGGCUGUUAUAACCACUAGGCUAAAUUAAUGCUGAUCUUUCCUUCCUUGUGCUGCCAAUUAACUAUUUGAAGCAUAGUUUUCCACACAAAAAGCUAAAACCCCAUACAUCGCCUAGUACGUAGGCAAAUCUUCCACUAAGAUUUCGUUUGCACUGGCUAAAAAUGAGGGCAAGUACAUUUCUACACGUUAUCACGUUAUAGGUCUCAUGGAUCAUCUCAUGCAAGUCUGUGUAGGAUUUUUGAUUAGGUGGCGGAGAGAGAGGGAGGAGAGAGAACAAGGUGGUUUAGCGAGACAAUAGUCUCACAGGCAAAAAUUUAGGACUAUAAGAUCACUUUAUCACCAUUGUACGAGUUGUUGUUGCCAUGCAACUCAUAAUAUUUCUUUUUUCUAUGCAUAAAUUAUGAAAUUAUGUAUUUACUAUGAGACAACUUAUAGGAUAUUUUAUUAUAUAUAUUGGCUGUUACAUCAUCUAAGAUGAUAUAGCAAUGCAUGAGACCGCCUGUUAGACUAGACUAAUAUACUUACCUAAGGGACUAAAAAUUAGCCUUACGUUCCAAACAGGAUCUUAGAAAACAGUGAACAUCACACGAGAACCCGAAGCACACUCGCCACGGAGUCUCUAAUUUUGUCUCAGCCAACAGAGAAGACAAAUUUUCACUUGGCACUGGUACAAUAUGCAAGUGCAGCUUGCUAGGACUGUCUCAAUACAGGUGGGACAUAGAAAAAGAAGCUGAUGAAGAUUGGCUAAAUGAUUUAUAAAAACUAUUUUAAAAAAUCACAAAACAGGCCUAUUAUAACCAUACAUAUUACAUGAAAUUGAGUCGAAGCUAAACUUGAGGAAGAGAUCGCUAACAAGAAAUUGAGAAGCUAGGAAGCAGCUAAAACCUUCUACAUGUGACUGAGUUAACGAGCUAGGAUCAAGGUUUUAAAUAGCCGUCUAUAACUGCCGCUAAACCCGGCUAUAGCUGCUAGGAAGGGCAGCCGCUAUGGCAUUUAGCUCGAUAAAGCCGGCUAUAGCCCGCUAAACGCCAUAAUGGCAGUCCUGCCGCUAAACACCUUAACCGGCAAUUUAAAACCAUAACUAGGAUCAACAACUUUUGGGUGGAAAUAGCAUGAUCUCCAUGCUUUCAUCUCUAGCAAUACCACCAUCGCCAAGGUGCAAACUCGGUGGUGUGUCAAUGCUCAUCUCUUCAUGGUACCAUGAAUCCUGAAGCAGAGACUCGCUCUUUAGGAUGAAGUGUUGUUGCAUCAACCUUCUCAAUCCUUCAAGUUCAAUUGCAACCUCUAUCAUCCUUGGCCGUUCUUCACCUUUCAACCUUAAGCAUCGUAAUGCCAACUUUGCAAUUGUUUCAACAUGUCUCAUUCCAGCUUCCUCAGCUACUUCAGGAUCAACAAUAUCCAACAACUUAUUUUUAUGGAAUAACAUGCUAAAUUGCAGUGGUAGGCUUCUCACGUCUUCCAUCACGCCAUCCAUAAUAGGUUUCUUCCUUGUCAGUAGUUCGAUGAGUACCACACCAAAACUGUACACAUCACUUUUCUUAGUCAAUUGGCUUGUCUGGAAGUACUCAGGGUCCAUGUACCCUAUUGUUCCUUGCACUAAUGUUGUUACAUGGGUCUGAUUGUAUUGUAUUGGUCUUGAGGCACCAAAAUCGGACACCUUUGCGGUGAAGUUCUUGUCAAGAAGUAUGUUCGAUGACUUGAUAUCUCUGUGAAUUAUUGGUAUAUUUGCGGCUAAAUGUAAGUAUGCAAGUGCCGACGCAGUUUCAACUGCAAUGUUUAGACGCUUCUCCCAUGACAUCGGGACCAAUGUAUUGUGAAGAUGAUGAAAAAGGGCCCCAUUGGUAAUGAAUUCAUAAACCAAUAAGGAAACUUCUGUCUCAAGACAACAUCCUAAUAUCUGGACCACAUUCUUGUGGUUCGCUUGUGAAAGAAUGAUAAGCUCAUUGACUAAUUGUUCCAUCUGGGUCUGAUCAACUCGUUGUGCCUUCUUGAUUGCCACGACCACUUGAUUGGAUAGUAUGCCUUUGUACACGGUCCCAAAUCCUCCUCUGCCAACAAUAUUGUCAUCGCUGAAGUUGUUGGUUGCUUUGUCAAGCUCAUUGGAGGUGAAUAUAUGCAGUUGUGACCUUUCAGAAAACAUCUGCUGCUUCAGCAACAAGCCACCAUUCUGCAUAAAGUACCUCUGUCUUGUCUUCGCAAGUUUCCUCUUCUUAACAAGCCAGUGUGUCCAGAAACCAAGAAUGAAGAGAAGCACUAGCAGAGCUAAUCCUGUGACUGCAAAAGAGGCGCAAAAAAAUUCAGAACUUUUUUAUUGGGCGCAACAUUAAUUCAAUGCGGCAUGCCAAAUGAUUGAACAAUCACAUCCAUCACUUGUUGAGAUAUGGCUUUAAACACUUACCUAUUGCAAUUACUAGUGUGCCCACUCCAUUGCAACCGCUGCCCUCCCUCAAGCCAUCGCCGCUCAUCCCUGCUGGGCACCUGCACUGGAAACUACCUUUUGUGUUGACGCACUUGUGCGUGCAUGGAUUUCUGGUGGAGCAUUCAUCAAUAUCUUGCCAACAUCCACAUGAAAACAAAACAUAUAUCAGACGUGGACUGUGUUUGCCAACUGAAGUUCGAGAAACAAAGAUACUGACUAUAAGACCCAGAAUUAUAAGCAUAUAUAGAAGAAUUUGUUACCUUGGCAUCCAUUAGGGCCUUGCAGGUAUGGGUUCCCCUCGAAUCCCUUGGAGCAAUUGCAGCGGUAACCAAUUCCGUUUGAUGAAUUGUAGCAAUAGGUAUUCUCCCUGCAUGCAUAUGCUGUGGUCUCUUUUGCCUCUUCACAGCUGCCAUCUAUAGACCACUCAAGUACCACAGGUCGGUAUUGACGUUUCGUAUUAUUUGUGUUGCUCAAGUCACUACUUGAAAACACAUAUGAGUUCUGCUCCACAAUGAAGGCCUCUCCACAUGGUAGAGUAUCGUUAUCCUUAUUGGAUAUAAUACCGAACUCUAACUCCAGCUUCUUUAACCCUUUCGGCACCGGAGCUUGGCAGCAAGCCACACCAGAGCACGAACCAUUAACGAUGUUAUCUUUGCUAGAGCAAAAGGAAGCACAACCACCGCUAUACCCACUAUUGCUAUUCAACAGCAUGGCCACCACGUUACAACCCAGAGCUAUGAACUUGUUUCUUGCAUCUGAGAAUGUGAAGAUGGUCCCCUCAAGGUUAAUGCUAGAGUUUCCUUUGCACUGCUGAGAAUUGAUACUAGCCAAUAUGGUCACAGAACCAUCCAGCAAUGAGAUGUCAAGAAUCCCAAACACACUGUCUCCAAUGGAUAGCACCGGACCACCAGGUCCAGAUAUGCGCGAACUAGGGCCACAUUAAAUCUGGAACCCUUGGGACAGGCUGUUACUAGCAAUACCAAAAGGAUAAGGAAUGGAAGUAUUGGAGCACCUGGAUGUGCUUGGUUCCAUGGGAUAAACAAAGGAGAAAAAGAAGCAUAUGAGGAGGAGUGAUUGCAGGAAAAAAGAGAGAAGCAUUUCCUUCUUUGUUCUUUGACAAGAUAAGGUAGGCUGUGGGAAGAUCACGGGAACACUUAGUUAUCAACUAUUUCUGAAGGACUAAAAUCAUAGAAGUCGAAUCUUGCGUAUUUAUUGAUCUCAGCCUCGGUUGUGUUUGGGCAAGUUUACCAGCAAUCCAACAUAUAGAGAAACAAUUACAGAAGAAAGGGGCAAAGCAUUUCCUUCGUGUUUCCUUUGAGAAGAAAAGAUUGAGGUAGUUAAUCAUCAACUAACACUGCAAGUGUGCAAAAGACCAGAAGAAAAGAUUGUCUCACCAAGAAGGGGAACACUAGGAACAGGAACCACCAAUUGUGCUCAAUUAGUCCGCACACCUUGUGAUGCGCAGUAUAUAUCCCCAGCAGCACACAGGAAGCAAGCAGCUGUGGAGCUCCAUGCUGAAAUCCUUGCUCCUGCUUCCAAGAUGCCUAUUAAAGGGGCUCGUUUCUUUGUAGAAUGGCGCGGCGAGCCUGCCAACUUCUUGACAAUUGCUUCUACCCACCAUUGACUUGACGGUAGAAUUCCAAAAGACAAAGCCAUUCCCCCACACUCAUGCUUUUCCACGUGAGACCCACACUCCGCAUUGACUUGACUAUUGGUGUGAUGCAUGAGGCCAUCAACGUCAUUGAAUUAGGUAAUCAGAUAUUUUUUUAGAUAAAGAGUUAAUCAGAUAUAAGAAGUGACAUUAAACGCGAAACUAUCUAAUAUUGUUUUAGUGAGCGAAGUUACAUUUCAGUGGAACAUUACUGAACAUCACAGAAACCCGUUACACUGCUUACUCCGCUUCAACCCCUCAAUUAGGAACACACACAGCUGCAGAACUGAAAAGAAAAACAAUAGGUUGUUUGAGAUGGGGGGAGGGGGGCAACAAAUCUAGGGUUUAAGCCCCUCAGUCACGUACCUCGCUCUUUGCAGACUCGCGGCGGUCGCGGUGUUCUCAACACUCGCGGCGCGGGCGCUAAGUUAGGUUUAGAUCAGUUAAGGGAAUGCGGGGAUAGAAGUACGCGCGGCGCCUUCUCCGGUGACGGUGGUGUCUCGUGCGUCUUCUCCGACGACGGUGGUGUCUCCGCAUUCGAGUGUACGGGAUUCGGCAAUAUGGGGGAGGGGAACCAAUCGUCCAAGCUCAAGCACAGCGAACCUUUUCGUGGGCUUCAGCACGCGCGUCAGGUGUCCAGGCCGCAGUCCACGAGCAACCACGGUCUAGUGGGCUGGUAGCCCAUCACUCCGAAUUUGAAAAGGUUAAAAGCACGCUAGGGCCAUCAUACCAACGGUUAGCCGUACAACUUCCUUUCCAGUAAAGCUCUCUCAUUUCUUACAUCCAGAACGUUUGCGCCGCAAACACGGGGCCAUUACCUAGACACAAGGUACGAACGUGCAUGGUGCGCCGUAGUCUGCAGGUCACCCCUCUUGUCAUACUUGACGCCGAACAUGGUGACGUGGAGCACACAGCCAUCCACUUCACCAUCCGUGGCCUCCUCCAUUGGAACUCCUGGGCAGCCCGCGCAUUCGACAAGGCAAAACCUGCUGUGUUGCCCAUGUAUGUGAGCGUGGCUCCUGUAGGUUGCCCCACAUGCCGCUCCGGGUCCUCGUGAAACAUCGUCUUCUUCCAGAGCUUCCACUCCGGCUGCACGACCGUUCCGCCGCCGCGGGGCGGGACCGCACAGGAGCAGAGGAACCCGUCCCUGCGGAGCCCCACCCACGCGUCCAGCUCGUGGACGUAGCAGCCCUCGCCUUGGAAAGGGAGCUGCCACUCGCCGUGCCACGUCCACACCGAACUGCGGGUGUCGAAGGAGUGGGUCCCUCCCUCCCUCUCGCCGUCGAGCCGGGACCGGCUCCGCGCGGACACGAAGAUGGUGCACCCGUCCGGGUGCACGGCGUAGGCGGUGACGGUCUCGUGCUUGCCCAGGGGCAUCGGCGCGGGGACGCUCCCCACGGACCACCGCUCGGCGCGCCGGGACAGCCGGAACUCGUCCUCCUCGUCGCGGGGCGCCCGCGACAGCACCUCGAAGGAGCACUGCUGAUCCGCGCGGCGCGGGUUGAACGCGUAGAGCCUCUGGCCCAUGGCCACACCAAGAACAUGAACCCGACCGGGCGCAGCGCCGGCGUGGGGCGAGGGCCUACGGCCAGCGACGCCGUCUCCGUGUCUUAGAUGAGGAUCGGAGCCUCGUCGCUGUACCGGUCGGUCAUGAGGACCAUCUUGCUGCCCAGGGCAGCGACGAUGGCCGUGGAGCGGUCUGCCGGCGCCUCGAUGCGGAGGGCGCAGGGCUCGGGGAGGCGCCGCAGCUUGUUGCCGCCGCCGCCUGGGUCGGACUCGACCUCGAACUCGUCGACGUCCAGCUUGUGGAUGCUGCACCCCAUCUCCCAGUCGUCCAUUACGAGGUAGAGGUGCUCCUGUCUCCGCCGCGCCCUCUUGGCCGCAGCGUCGUCGCAGUCGUCGUCGCGGUGCUGCUCCCGCCCCCGCCGCCUGGAAUCGAAGCGGGACAUCUUUCCGCGUGUGCUUCGAUCGCGAGCGUUUGUUCAUAGGAUCUCUCUGCAUGUAUGUUGGCUGAGCCUGACCUUGUCGCGUACAAUUCAGACACCGAAUUCGAUUGGAACUCGUGGUCGCGGACUCGGACAUCACCUACCGCCGUGGCACUGGCUGCUGACGCGGAAUCCGUGAGACAAGGCGAUCGAAAAAGCCUGACGUGGCAGUUGACCAUGGGUUCAAAAUGUCAAAAAGCACGAGGCGCGGAAUCGUGCGGGCGGCUUCCCGUUCCUCGCGAAUCACGCCCAAUCUCUCCGCACUGCGAGCCUAGACACGCGCCUCUUCCUUUCCUGGCGAGCCUCCGCACUUGCCGCCUCCACCGGGAAGUGGUGGUUGCUCGAGCAUUUCAGAUGGUUUAGGAAACGUGGAUCGAAGCAACGAGGGCAGCUGUACCUACUGUGACUGUAUUUGCCUGCAGGCUAUGGCUAAAGCGGCGGUCUUGGGUGGUGGUGUCCGUGAGGUGUUCGGCGUAUUGCGCUAGUCGACCAGGAUUGCCUCUUAUGGCAGGAGUAGACGGGCGCCAGUCAUGGGAUCUGUGGUAAGGAUGCUAUGCGUUCGCCCUUUCUGAUUCAUGUGCAAACCUUCAAAAAAUGGAAGAUGCAUUCAAUGCUUGCGACUUCAUGCAUUAUUGCCGUUGGCCCAUUGUUAACUAGCUCUUUCAUGGGAGUAAGAUUGAAAAAAAAUGGCAAAUGUUUCCGAAUUCUAACCAUUGUGAUGUGUUAGAGAUGCCUUUGUAGCAGAGGCGAAGGUUCUAUUGUUUACUGGAAGUUAUGGUUUCAGGUAGGACAGGUACUUAGUGCACACACUAUGUAGUGUCCCAGUCAACUACUCUUAACUAUUUUUGAGCCGGUAUGUAAACUUCACACACAUAUUGGAUUUUCACCAUAUUCUUGUAUGCUUAUAGCGAUUUCUGAGAUUGAUACCAUCAUGUGGCGAACACAUUGAGCUACUUUGUUGGGAACAACACUGUUGAAACAACAAACUGAGGCAUCUGAGCUACUAAACUAACUUAUGAGAAUCAACUUAUUUGAAAAUUAACUCCAAUUGCAAUGUGCAGCAGGAGCUAAUCAUCUAGAUACUGAGACAUAUGCAUUGAAGCAUUUCUAGAAGCAGGGCUAGGUAAGGGAUACAAUAACAAACGAGUCCAGAGUCUAGAGUCUAGGCAUGGCCAGAAGCUAAUGCUAAAGACAAAGUUUUCUCCAUGCCCUGAGCAAAUAAGUUUGCUCACUGAGACAGGUAACAGAAAAUUAUCAGUCAACAAACAUAGUUUGAACUGUAAUAUGACGGUUAAAGGUUAAUUGAAAAUGUUAUAAGUUUGAUGCUGUGCAUCCACUGCUUCAAGAAGCCUCUUAGCCACUGGACACGCAUAAACUGAGGAGCCUUCAGGUACCUGCAUGAGUGUGGAUGAUGAAGCAUUAUGAAUAAGCUAGAUGAUGCCUUCCAUAAAAAAAAGAUGUUGAUGGUGAAACAUUACUAUCGAUGCUAAGAGAUAGUUGUGGGAAAAGACUUCUUGGUGCAACUUUAAAUGAAAGAAAUUGUAUAUUACCUUGGUGUUAAACAUAAAUAUAUGGUGAUCGCCUAUUAUCCCGCCAACUGCGUGGAUUAGAUCCAGUUGGAACUCAUCUAGAACCUUUGCAGCAUGAAACAAAGAGUUGUCCUUCUUCUUUUCAGUGAGCUUGAUGUUUACUUCAUCAUCCACUAUGCGGACAUCAACAUGGCACUCCUUUGACCUCCUCUGAACCCAUGAGCUCCUUAUGGAUCCAUUGAGCUGAUUGUCCUGAUCAUCCCUGAUUGGCUUCAUUGAUGAGCUCUCACCAUCAGCAGCUGCCUGGUGAUCCAACUUUAUCCUCUUCUCCCUAUUAUUGCCAUGCUUCUUCUGCUCCACAAGGAUCUUUAGUUCCUUCACUGUUCGAUUAAGCUCAUCUAUGUACUCAAUUGCAUCGCCUACUAUAGAAGCCCUGUCAUUCUGGAGUAAUAGUAAUGCAAUAUUUUUUUUAGUUCCAUCUCCAUGAAAUAAGUGCCCCAAAAAGUACAACGUAGGAUUUCUAUCUGUCAUCUAAUCUACUACUAUAUUUUUUCGAAGUUAACCACAUGGUGUUGUUGUCUAAUUGACUAAGACAAGUCAGAUCAGGGUAACCUUAUGAGGAUGACACCGUGCUCUAGCGCGAAAUUAUAUAGCACAAGAAACAUCUCAAAUUGAUCCUUUUUUUUCUCCAAGUCAAAUACAAGGCAUUAGCACACUAAAUUUGGACGAAUGAGAAUAUAUUACUAUAUAACAAGGUGAGGAAUUAUGCUAUAUCACUUUAGUUAUCAGUAAAUAACAGCACUAUGAGGAAUUAUGUAUUGAAAAUCACAUUGAAUAGGAUAUUAUUAUCAGAUUGCAGGUUCUGUAAUCUGUAAAACUAUGUAACAAGGUGUAGCAGAACUUAAAGAAGUGUUCAAGAGAUAAGUCCAGCAAAAAAAAUAUCCCCUGUAAUUACUUAAUUUAUGUUUAUAUAGAAACAUGUACAUUAGGCAGAUGAAUGCAGAAUUUAUGCUAAUGACGUUGCUCACUUUGCUGGUUUAUUUGACUCUUCUCUUCAUUUGAUUUUAAAAAGGUUAAUAAAAUUUUUGAAUCAAAUUGAGACUCUUGAGAGUCACUAAAUUAUUUGCAGCCAAAAGAGCUAAUUUAUAUUAUGAGUACAUGAUGAAUGGACAAACCUUGGUAGGAUUUGGGAAGAGCAUUCUCAAAGUCCUGUACUUCACAUUUAGCUGCUCCCGCCUCUCUCUCUCAGUUGCAAAAUUAGCUUUUACCUUGCCCUUCCCAAACUCACCCUUCCCUCUUCUGCAUUCCAGUACGCUAUCAAAUUGUCUGUCAUCUAUCUCCUGAAACAAAUCUCCUACGCUUCCAGCUCCAAUCAUGACUUCUCUUUCAUCCUCACUGGGAAACAGUCCAUAAUUCUGUGGCAGUGAAUGGCAUAUAUCAUUUGCCAGAUGAGGUUGAGUAGCAUGAUAGCCCAAGUGCACGGAUGAAUCACCAGUGAACAUCAACCCAUUAUCUGGAAUUGCUGCUACUCCUGUAAGCUCACCAUUGAGAUCCAAAUAGUUACUACCAUUCAGCAUGGCAUCACCGAAGACAGAUGUUGCUGCAGGAAAUGCUGAAGCAACAUUGAUCCGAAGAAGAUUUAGGAGAUCAGGUGCAGGUGUGUAAGCACCAUUAGGAUAAAGUGCAGCAUCAUACUGUUGGAUCUCUGGUUCAACCAACAUGUUUUCUGAAUAUUCUCCAAACUGAUGUUUGAUGAUUUGAUCUUGGAUAGUGCAGACAGAAGGAUCCCAGCUUGUAGUUUCUCCUGGGGGAGCCUCUUGUUCCAAGUCAAUUCCCAGCUGGUGCUGAAGGAGAUUGGUUCCUCCUACAUCUUCAGAGGAAAAAUUGGUUGGCCUUGAGAGUGCUUCUGUGGAAAAGGAGGGAACUUUGAACUUCUGUAGCUCAAUGCUUGUGUCGUCGUUGCCUUUAGGAAUUUGAGAAGAGUCAUGGAUCAGAGAUCCUGCCAUGAGGCACUGAUCAUGGGAACUUUCAAAAUAGCCACCACCGGCAAUCAUUUUGGCAAAACAGUACCUGCUACCUUCACUCCAAAUCUAAAUCAACAUAGUUUGGAAAGUGGUGAGCACAAGUAUCCUUUGAACUCAAGUUUGAGACAGAACGAAAUGCAAAAUGAUGCCGAAGAACCAACACUAUCAUAAACGAGAACUGAAUAUAGCUACAAUAGAAAUGGUAUUGCUUGUACUUCGCGUAGCAAGGGGAAAAUAUGACUCUGAUACAUGACACAGUAGAUAUAGUUCAAUCAGGCGUGGAACAUUUCAGUUGGAUUGGCUGUUUUGGUUGUUUCAAGGGAAGGUGGAGCCGUGGAGUUGAAGCUAGGCAGUCUGGCUGUCUGUUUUUUCGGUGUAGAGAAGUUUCUUAUAGCUUGAUAUUUGAGACAUGAAGCAACUUUGCUUGUUGCAGACCUAACAAACUCCUUACCAUCUUUUUGCACCCCACUAAUCAUAUUCAUAUUGAUGUGUUUGAAAAAAACAUAUUCUUAUUGAUGUUUCAUAUAAUGUGCUUCAACCACCCAAUCUCAUAAAUACUGCAAAAUCUGAAUAGCAUGAUAUCCCUGGUUAAUCAUUAAAUGUAAGACUGAUCAGCUGAAAGAAGCACUAAGAUCUAUGAUGUUUUUUUUUAAUUUUGAUAUUGUCAAUUAAAAUUCUAUAGGAGCGUAGAACAAUUAAUUAUGGUUUGCAUAUGCAAACAGCAGUAAUAAGUUCAAGAAGAGCACAUACCUUUCUUUCUUUCUUUUGCCUCAGCUGUUUUCAGUGAAGGGGGGUUUGUUUACGAAGUAGCAACUCAAAGACUCACAAUACCAAGUUUCUGUGCUAUGGCAAGGGUAUUAUAGUGGAAGGUCAUGAGCAAUAAUUAUCACCACACAAAAGUGGUGGGAUAGUAAAAUAGAAGUAUGUGUCCGUAGCAAAGACAAUCAAUUUGCAGAGAUGUCCUCUUAACCAUAUAAGAAUGGUCAAAGUAAAGGGUUAUCAUAUGAUUAUUAUUAUAGCCAUUCUUGUUAUGAAGAGACACAAAACGAGAAAGACGGAAACCUCACACCCUUUGGAUUGGCAUCUUUGAUGUUAUUCACCUGUAGGAAGUUGAAAAGUGUAAGUCAUGCCUUCUGCCUCCUGAACAUUUUUAAAGAAUGUACUGGUGCAGCUACGCUUUGAGAAACUAAAUCUUGAACUAUGGAACUACCUACAAGAUUUUCAAAUUUGAAGAGCAAAUCUUUCAUUAUGGAAUUGUGAUGUCAGCAUUAGUUAUCUAAGCUCAUUUGUGUUAAUGCAUAUCAGUGCGGUGUUCUUGAUCUUGUGAUUUCUAGAAGUUCUGGAUUUUUCUCCCAUCAUGUUACCAAAUGUCAACAAAUCUAGAACCUAAACAGAAUUUCUAAGGAUCAAGUGCUAGCCUGAUAGGUAGUUGAUUACAUCACAAAAUUGAGUUCCUCUCAAUUUGACAAUAGGAAACACCAUGUAUGGAAACCGAGGGAUGGUGAUGAUAUCUAUCUAUGCUCCACUGCAUGUCAUUAGUCGUUCAUACCUUAAGAUUCUGCUGUGGUCCUGUAUUGUAUGAUAAACUGGACAGCUGUAUUCAAGUAAUGUACAUUUUCGUUUUGCGUAUCCAAAUCUCAGAAAAGAGUUCUCAAUCAUAAGAACUGAAACCUGUUGCACUACCCAAAUCUUUAUCAUUAUUUCUGUUUGAGUGAAAUCCUUUUGCUCCUCAUAUGAUUGUAAUUGUGCUUACUAAUGAAUACCGUCUUCGGAGUUUGAUAUUUCUUAUCUUUUGUUGGCUUGUUGUGGUACAUAAUACACGUGUUGCCCCUUUAGAACAUUUCACUCUGGGUACCCAAUUUCUGUUAAAGAGGUAAACAAAUUGACAGUUAUUGCAUUCUGCAGUUCAUGUGGGAUCUGGUGCUCAUCAGUUCACUUUACACAACUCCUUGCAUCUAGGAUGCACAAUGGUAUCAGGAGAAGUUUUAAUCCUGAUGUAAGAUCUCAUGCUUAUAGUGUUUACUACAAUUAUUUUGAGUGAAGAAGGUAGAAAAAAGACGGAUAUCAUAAUUUAGCUCUAGAAGUUGAUGAGUUCUCAUCAGUGCAGUGUCUAGAAGGCUCAUCUUGACAAUUGUCGUUCAUUUAUAACAUCAUUUGAUUAAGGUCCCAAUCAACACAGGUAAGCUUAGUUAUUACAACCACUUCAAGUAUGUCAAGAAACUAGCAUUGUAAUUGGGCGCCAACAUAACAAGCUUUACUUCAAAGUUGUUCAGUUUUAGAUAGCUAGAUUAUUAGAAAAGGUAAUAACCAUAACCGUUAUACAUCUAUACAUGCUACUAACAAGUUCUUCAGUUCACUCGUGGGCACCUUGACAUGGUUACUCAGCAAACAGAAUUUGUUUAUCGUUCUCCUUGGUGUUCAUCCUUAUUUUCUUAUCUUUUGCAGACAUGGAGUUCAUUUAUCCUGCAAUUGAGGCUCGACCAGACUGAAGAAAGCAAGUAACCAUUUAUGAUCACUUAUGAUUAUGGAAUUGCAUAUUUACGUGCCUAAGUAAGAACACAAAUAGCUUAGCUGCCUGCCUGCCUUCCUCUAAACUAUUGGAGGAUGGUGACCGAGAUUGUUCACUGUAUGCAAUAUAAACUCAAUUGGUGAGGAAUGAAGUGAUUUAUAGCUCUGUUAUACACCAUCAUUAUUUUUGUCAGUUUGAGCCUGGAAUGAGCUACGACUUUCGCAAGAAUAUAAGAACCGAGGAAAAUAAAGGGAAAAUAGUGAAGCUGACACUAGUGUCUGAAUGCAUAAAGGAUAAUCGUUUGCAUCUGAACAUGUUUUUUCUUUUACGAUAGGUGGAGCAACGGAAGACCAUGGCAAGAACAGACUUGAAGGGUUUCCUCUGAAAUCUGAAUCUAAGUCCAGGCGCGGCUAAACACUUUACAUGGACUGAGGAAGCAGAGACGGCGAAGUGAAGUAAGCUCAGAGCAACCCUUUUCGUUGCCUCCGAGGGAACGCGAGAACGCUGCUGCUAACCUCCAGUGCUAAGCUGACUGGAUGGAGACGAAGAGAAGACGCUGGGUUGUUUUUUUAAUUUAAAGGAGGGAGAGGGAGACGUUUCAUGCCCUCCUUGCUUCGGCUGGAUUCCCGGUGGGUUGCUGGGGGCAUGCGGAAAGCAUUCGGCGCAGCUUCGUAACGGCACUCGUCCUUGCAGAUGAGCACACGGUUCCUCCGGGACGGGCCAACGGCCAGCUCCCAGUUCCCUUUCUGAAGAUCACAUGUGUGUUCAGUGCUCUCGCUUUCUGUUGCAUGUCCAAUGUGUUUUGCUCAGCCAGUGUUCACAAAACUGAUUUCUGGAGGCAUGAGCUACCCUGCUGUCCGUGGGAGUUUGUUAACUCUGAAUCUCUGAAGAUCUUACACGAUCAUGUCUGAUGUAAACAGGAGGCGGCUUUGUGGCGUCGUUUUUCCUUCGACCGAGCUAAACGGUACUGAAGAAAGAAGAUGAGGUCAGUGCAUGUACGGGCGAAGGCGCUAGGGAGCCUGUUGCUGUGAGGUGAUUAGGAGGGUAGACCUAUUUGUUCUAGGCGCGCUAAAAAAAAAGACUAACCCAGGCCGUGGAGUUGGCAUGUAAUGGAAUGCUUUUUCUUCCUAUUAUAAUGUAAAGAUACGCAGAAGAGUUAGAGGAAAAAAAAUAUAAGGGCGAAGCUCCUCACUCCGUUCCUUCAGAUCAACCACAGUCACGUUCAAUGGACGCUUCUCCUCGUUCCUCACUGAAGUCGUCAUGGAGUCAUGGAGGUGGCCAAGCCUGUGUGAGAGCUUGACCAUUGGCAUCAUUGGCAGUGGCUCCGCCGCCGCCGUGGCGUUCUCUGCUCACCGGACUGCCGAUGAUCCAGGUGGCCGGAAGCCUGCAAGUUCCUGGGAUACAAUAGUACGAGGGUCUAUGCAGAAAAUUUGCAUACUGGACCAGAAGCUCUAUUGCGAAUAAGAAUCCUUUGCGAGCAGCCCGGCCCAUCUCUGAGCUUCGUCCCCAUAAAGGCCCAUAGCCCAAACUUGAAACAAGCCCACAACAGUGGACUCAUCCACCGCAGUGGACUCAUCCCAAUUCCCCACAGAACUUCUAGAAUCGUCCAGAACUUCAGAGCACCCGCGCGGCCGCGCCUCUCCCGGUUAGAUAAACAUGUAUCUCGUAUGUGAUGUGUUAUGUAACUGGGCAACAACCUGCCUAGAAGCUGGCCUAAAAUAGCUAAUGUUAGUUAGACAAGAUUUGGUUGGUUGUAAAUAGUUGUUAUCUAUCUGCAGCUAAGCUUCACCGGUUGUUGCGCAAUGUAAAUCUCCUGGCGCAUCUUGUCGCCCUAUGUAAACACGCAAGCAGCGCACGGUCAAGGUGCGACUGUUUCCACCGAAUACUUACCGCAGCUCUGAUUCUUUCACUCCCAUCUCUCGGUUCCCCGCCUCUCCUCAGCGAUGCGGUGGCUAUCGAGGCUGCUCUCCCACGCCGCCGCGGCCGGGAGGACCUCCGCGGUGGCCAGGUCCACCAGCAUCCACGUCAGCGGAGGAUCCCACGGGUUCGCCAGCGGCGGCUGGGAGGGGUCGCCGGCGGUGCCCCGGGAGUGGCUGCGGAAGCUGUGGCGGGAGGAGCUGAGGAAGCAGAAGGAGGCCGCGAGGGCUCUCGGCGCGUUCGCGAGGAGCUAUGAGUCCGUGGAGGCUGCAGGAGCGGCCACGGAGGCACCGUCGAGGAGCUAUCAGUACGACGACAGGGACCUCGAUCCCGUCGAGGCAAGCGGAUUCUGGAAACUUUGACUGCAGCUUCUCUUUGUGUAGUCUCUUUUCUAUUGUCGUGUGUAACAUUUGCUUUGAUCCGAUGCUAUCUUAGAUGACUCGAUAAUUAGAUUAUAGGCAGUGCAUGAGGAUAGUACAGUUAUACUCUCGUAUUUCAGAAACUAAGAAAAACGGUUGGAAUUGGAGGUCAUUUCGCAUUGUUAGGCUGGGUAAUUAGUGUGUGUGAAUCAUUUACUGUCCCAAACGGUUUACUAUAGUUCCCAUCAGCAUCAGUUAACAAUCUGUUGAAAUGUUUCCUGCCUCCUUCACUUGAUUGUAUCCUUCUACUUGAUGCUUUAUACUGAUUGGCAAUUUCCACUGUGCUCAACAUCGAGGGACUAUUUUUUGCUGUAGCUACUGGAAUAAUCGGCAGCGUGUUUCAAUGUGUUUAUAGGCCAAACUGGCUCCUCUUCUUGCAAGAGCUAACCUCGUGAUCGCCAGGGACAUUGAGUGGGCAAACAUCAUGCUUGCUUUUGAGCAGGUGAGUUAAUGUGUAUAGACCAGUGCAUGCACAAUAUACAUUUCUAUUUUUGAAUGCUUCUCCAUUUCUUUUCAUGAUCUUACAUAUUGCCAUCUGAACUGCAGGAGAGCAGAUAUAUCAUAAUGGACCCACUCUUUCCACAAUCUGUAAGUUUUAUCCGGUCCUGGUUGUAAUUGGUUCCCUUGCUGUAUUAUCCUCAUUAUACAUUCUAACUCUAUAUGUCUUGAGCGUUGACUUCCUUGUCCAGCCAGUAGGUUUUAUUCGAGAGAAAAGCAACAUCAUCUUUAGGCAGGUAUGUCUAUGUAGCUGCUUCAUCCUCAAUAAACUAGUCUUUGCUUGUUCUAUUGCUUCAUGGUAAUUUUUUGAAUCAAGUCAAGGGUCAAGAAAUUUCAAUUAAUCUGCAUAGCAGUCGGCUAGACGCUAGUAUGUUGGAGACAUCCGAUUUCCUGUUCAAACUUCAAAUUAUUUGCAUCAUGAUACUUGGUAUCUUUUGGAUCUAGUUAUUCUGAUUUGCUCUAUGUGCAGUCAAUAUUAUUGAGUGUACCUUGUCACUAUCUACUGUAUUUAUCUCCAUAUGAAACACCAUCACUGCCUCAUUCAUCAUAUGCUUAUGCUAUUGAGAGACUGAAAAAUAUGUUUGUUCUCCCUGUGCUAAAGAACAGCUAUUGGUACGGUCUCACUUUCAGUCAUGAAUCAUAUUGAGUAGUUUGGAAAGAAUAUUGAAGUAACCUUCAUCAGAGCUCUGUUAUCUUAUAUUGGAUAAUUUUGUGAAGAAUUUGUUAUUAUAGCCAUUGAAGCAUUUAUAGUAGGCAGUAAUAUUUUACAUAAGACCACACAGCAAGGCACUUAAUUAAAUAUAUUUUAUCCCCUUUUAACAUUAAAGGUAGUCAAAUAGAGCAUCUGCUGUUGACAAAUAAACAAAGAGGAGGAAUAAUUGGAACUUGUGGAAAUUUGCUUGCCAUCCUAUUCUUUAAUCCUCUAAAUGAUGAUGUUUCUCUGUUUAUUUAGAAGAAUUGUUCUGUACGCUUGUUUUCCCUCUUAAGGCAUGUUUUAUGUAGUGCUUGUUGAUUGAGUUUCAUUGCCUUAUUUUAGUAGCUGGUAUAUGAAUGUUAGCUUGUGAUGCUAAAAGUUAAAUAUGAAUUGGCUUUAUGUUUGUGAUUGGAAGAAGGGCGUAUCUAAGGAUGGCAAUGGACACGAAUUAUCCGCGUACCCGCGGGUAAAAAACCGUCGGGUAUGGGUUUGGGUACUAUUUCAUAUCCGCGGGUACGGGUGCGGGUAGCAAAUAAUAUCCACGGAUAUUUUUAAAACGGGUAACAAAAAUUACUAUCUGUACCCGAAACCCGAAACCCGCAUCUGACAUGUGGGUCCACAUCAAAACCAUAUAUAUAACGAUAACCCUAACCCUAACUCUCCCACCCCCACUCCAGCCGCCGGCGCCCCCUCCCACAGCCCCACCCGGCCGCCUGCGCCAGCGCUCCCCGCCCCCCCCCCCCCGGUCGGCCGCUUCGGCCGCGCCAGGCACGCAGGCCUCGGCCCCGGCCCCCCCCCCCCCCCCCGGUCCGGCGGAUCUAGACUCCGCCCCCCCUCCCCCCGUCGGCGGCUCCAGGCCCCCCCCCAGCUCCGGCCGCUCCAGGCACGCAGGCCCCGGCCCCGCCCCCCCUCCCCCCCCCCCCCCGGGGUCUGGUGGAUCCAGAGUUCCAGACUCCGCCCGCCCGCCGCCGCCCCCCCCCCCCCUCCCCCGCGGGCACGCCAGGCAGGCUGCAGGCGGAUCAAGACUCCGCCCCCCCCCCUCUGAAUAUAUCCGCGGAUUUCCGUUACCCGCGGGUAACGGAUAUGGAUACGUUUUGCUAUCCGUUACGGGUAACGGAUACGGGUUCGGGUAUGGUUUUUAGGUCGCGGGUAUGAAUAUCCAGAGGCAAUAUCCGCGGAUAGUUUACCCGUUGCCAUCUUUAGGCGUAUCUUUAUAAUUGAUUUGUUUGCUUCUUUUGAUGGAGGUGCAAAUCAAAUCCCUUUUUUGUUCAUGUUUUAGCUACUAAGAACAAGACGGCCAUUUGUUGCAGAAAUAACUGAUGCUAUGGGCAAUGAGAUAUUUAAGGUAAUAUUUCUUCAAGCCAAUGUUACAUUCUGUUGAAAAUCUAUUUAAUUGUACUACCGGGUUUAGGUUCGCAGGCCAUUUUGGUUGAUCAACAGCUCAAUUUAUGCAGAAGUGGAUGGUAAGGUAUGUAAAUAUUCUUCACUAGAUUGCCCUAGCUAAGAUGGGAAUAUCAUCUGCAUAUGAAUCUACGGAAGUGCUGAUAAAGCUUCAUUGUUUGGCUUUGGUCAGGAGAUAGGUGUAGUCCACAAGCGUUGGCACCUUUGGCGGAGAAUUUAUGACCUGUACUUAGGGUAAUAUGGUAUUCUUAUACAUUUCCCUUAUCUUGUGGACUAAGUUCGAAACCUCCCAGUUUAUCAUGUAAUUCUUGUCAUACAGGCCUGCCUGAAACCAUGUAGUUGUAUUUCAGAAAUAGGCAAUUUGCGGUUGUUGAGAAUCCAGGUUUCUGGAACUGGACCUUUAGCCUGGUGGAUGAAGAUGAUAAACUGUUGGCUCAGAUUGAUCGUAACUGGAGGGGAAUUGGGUUUGAGGUAAUAUUCUUUUCAGCGUAUACCUAUCAAAGCAUAAACAUUUCUUAUACCUGAUGGACAUUUGUAUUGAUGCAUGCUCUCAUAGUCUCAUGCACAGAUUGCAUUUUUGACAGCAAACAAUAUUUUUCCAGCAAGAUAUAAGUUAAUAUUUUUAAACUCUGGUAACUAAGAAUCACCUUUCCAAUUUGCUUUGGCACUUUUGCUUGGCGUUUCUUCCAUAUAUGGAAAAUCCUGUGCCGAUCUGGUAAAUUGAACUGAACAUACCAUUGCCUGAUCAUAUUAUAAUGGUCUAGUGCCAUUCUGAGUGCGUGUUUUCUCAGCUUCACAUAUUUGCUCUAGACUAUAGAAAGAAUGGGAUUGUAAGGACUAAGGACUAAUGAUUUUGGAAUGACUCGCUCACUGUUAAGUGUUAAUAUCACUGUAGCUCUUCACGGAUGCUGGCCAGUACGCGGUUCGGUUUGGUGAUGAGGGACUAAGCCACAAGUUUGCUCUUGCAGCAGAUGUAAGUGUUCUCACUUGGCAUUUGUUAUGCCUAAACAUAUGGGUGCCAGCCUUGCGCAGUUAACUGCACUUUGCCCUAAUUCGGAACCCAUGUCUCAUGAAUGCUCCAGGUCGAAGAACUACAUGUUGCUCGGCAGCUGAGUUUGCCUGAAAGGGCCGUGGCUCUUGCACUUGCGAUAUCCCUGGAUAGUGAUUACUUCUCUAGGAGAGGUGGCUGGUAAGUACCCGUUUCUAGGCUUGCCAACUCUAGAUGGCUAUUUUACUUUGGCUGGCCUCCUCUAUUGCUCAGGAAUUGAUCAAAGUGCCUGCUGCUUUCAGGGGACUUCCUUUUCUCAUUGCCACAGAGUAGACACGCGCAAACCCCAACCGCCUUUACGCAAUGGAAAACAUCAUCCUUUCUCAUUGUUGAUACAAGCUCAGCGGUAGUAUACUGUUGUUCAGCGAUUGAGAUCAUCGCCAGAGGCAGGAAAUGGUUCCUGUGUCACUGACUAUCAUAAGAUUGCUCCUCUGCUUCAUGCGAAACCUGAAAGUGGUGGUUUCCCAAGGAGAUUGGCUUGCCUCCAACUUUGCCACCCCUGUAGGUUGUCGCUCAGGCAGACAUUGCUGAAGUUUUUUCUUUCUUCUGUAUGCAUAGUGGAGUGCAAAUCCCGUUUUGUUAUGGAGGUGCCACGCGCUCGUUGACGUUCUAAUAUCAAGUGCGACACUCUGAAGCACGGUGUUACUGCUCAACUAUAGUAGUUUACUAAUAUCCGAUCCUACGUUAUCGAGACUGAAGAUGGCACGGAUAUAUAUUCCGUUUACCCGAAUGCACGAGCUAAAAUUCGUACCAAUAUCCGUGCCGUAGAAAAUUAUACCCGUACCGGGUACUCCAUGCCCGCGGGCACGUCUGUGUCCACAAGCUUUUAGAAAAUUAAGCCACGUGCUCAUAAGCUUUAGAAAAUUAAACAUACAAGCAAGAACUACUCAGCGAUUCAGUGCCCUGCAGCACAAAGAUCAACCAAAAUAAAUAUGGAAAUCUGAAAUCUCAGCCAUUCUCACUUUUAUCAGGCAUAUCAUGGAUUCACUGCAGAUCUAGCGUUCUAGCUCAUGUUACAACGGAUAUACAAGAGCUGAUACAUCAAAAACAAUUUCCUUCGUAUGCUACUUAUUUCCCGGUGGAUUGAAAGAGCAGAUUCGUGCAGGAAUAGAUCAGGGCAGUACAUAAAUCAGUGCGGCACGAAAGGACUAGACUCCUGGGGCUGCAGGCCGGCGGCGGGCACAGGAGCAGCACGCCCGCUGCGGAACCGGGCGCCGGGCGGCCAGGGAUCGGGCGGCCGGGGGCCCUGAGCGCGUACGCGCUGCACCGGCCGCAGCGGGCUCCAAGCGGCCGGGGGCGCGGGGAGCAGGAGCGGCGCGCCGGCGCCUUGGCCGCCAAUAGAUGUCGAGGGAGGAGGAGGGCGGCCGGGUGGCGCACAGGGAGGAGAGCCGAGGAGGAGGGGCGGCGCUCAGGGAGGAUGAGGAUGAGGAGGAGGAGGGGCGACGGCGCAAGGAGGGGCCGACUAAGGGAGGAGGGGGAGAGUCGGGUAGGCUGGGUGGUGGCGGCCGAGAUUGGAUUUGGAGGCUGG
rnacentral:lncRNA from 1 species